UUACAUAGAAUAUUUUGGGUUGGCUCGGCCUUGACUUGGAUCCGAUCCGGUAAGGUCUGGGAUGGACCUGCACCCGACUCAACCUGAUUAUGGGGUCCAAAGUUCUACACCCAGAUCCAACUUACUUGUUCGAGAAUUUGGAUUGCAAUCCCUAACUCAUUUGCUUCCCUCUUAGACUAGAAAGCAAUGUAACUUAGACGUGUGUUGGUUCUUAGCACAUUUGACACACUACGGACAUGAUCUACAUAUCUGAUACUUUAACAACUUCUUUUUUAGGGUCCCAAUAGUAGUACUUAAUUUCACUUAGUAUUACCUCCUUGUAAAUGAUGUAUGGAAUUAUAAAUGUCUCACACCUGAAAGGCUUGUUUAGGGGUUUGGCAUUUCUGAUGUGUUUCUUUGACCCCUUAGCCAAUUUACCUUAUCACCAUGCAUUUGGCUUUGUGUCACUCCCUGACGUGGGACCUACACUUCAUCAAAAUGUGUUGGGAGAGGUGUAUUUCGAUUAAUUUCUUAUAACGUACUUUAUUUUUCUUUGAUAAAUAAGCCAGCAUUCGUUGACGUUUCCCCAGAAUUUUACGCAUACCUCUUUGGGAUAAAAAGUUUCUUUUUGUGCAGUUCCAAAUGUGAAGUAAGUUGUAAGUCAAUUAUUCCUUGCAUCAUAGGUGUUGCUGCGUCUUGAGAUCCUAAUUGCCAUGGAUCCGCAGCAUCACAAGGAGCGAUUGUGAGGAAUAGUCAUUCUAGAAAACUCAUUUGGGAUGUAUCGUCAUUCAACACUCCUCACAGGUGUCUAUAUUUCAUACACUGGUCUCCGAUCAUGGCAACCAAAAAUGGCUCUACCAAGAAUUGAUUCCUUGGCCUCUUGAGUUAAAACAGUAACGUCCACCACUAUGCUAAGCUUUUGCGAUUAAGUAUUGAUAGAUUUAUUGUAUACAGAUUUUGGGCAUUGUUUCGCUCAUAGAGUAGAAAAUUAUUCAAGAACUGAGAAUAACAAAAAUGUUAAGGGCCCGGUUUCUAUGCGGCUAACCCCGCAUAUGUAGAAAUGCAGGCUACUUUAUAAAUCUAUUUUUGAGAUGGAUAAUAGUUACCGGGAUCUCCUCCAUUGCGUGGCGAUCCCUUGCAAAACCUCAAUUCUCUCGAUCUUGGAGUGGAUCUCGUCUGAAACUCAAUUUAGUGUUUUGGGAUCUCCCGCCAUCUUAUAAGGUAGCAAGUUCCUUACAAUUUAAUUUCGCGUUUCUGAACAUUGCAGGAUUUAGUUCCCUAGUCUUGUGGUUCGCGCUCUAGAGUACAUUGGGAUCUAGAUUCCAAAAUAACGGAACACAAGCAUCGCCAUAUAUGGCAUCCAGAUCCUACAAUAUGGGAUCACUUUAAAGUUCUGUAUUUAUUUCAUAGAAGGACUAAGCCUACAUGUUAUUGGUUAACAACGCCGGGAGCUACAUUUUAAAGCCACGGACCCUUAUUACCUACACGUGGUACUCGUGUUCUAAGAAAAUGGAGCUCGCUCCUAUAAAAGUUAUUCCUCGCUCCAUAAUAUUUUGGAUCACUUUUAGUAAUGCGCUCCUUGAGUUAAGAAACUGAAAAAAAUCCAUUGGGAAUUUCGUUUCUUACAUACAGGGUCUCGCACCUUUAUAUAAUAAUUUUUGAUCCUAUGUAAUAAAGGAGCUCGAUCCCCAACACACAUGGACCUCAAUCCUGACCUUUGAGUUUGUACGGGCAUUGAUCCCUAACACAAGAAUCUUCAGUAUAGCUUCGAUCCGCCAAUCCCACCCUCGAUCUUGGAACUGUUCCCAUACCCAACAACUAUGAGAUGGAUUUUAAGAUUUAAUUUUUAAGGACAUGUAAUCUCUAACAUGGAGAUCAUGAAUUUGUAAAAAUAAAUAAAUUUUAAAAACUAGAAAUGAUAAUUCUAGUAAGAAAACAUUUGGACCGUUAGUUUCCAUUGUUUUUAGAUGUAACACCUACUUGCAUCCAUCUUUAAGAUGGAUGCUUUACACUUUCUGGACCGCAUAUGUAGAAAUGGGGUCUAGCCCGCAUGAAACAAUUUUCCAAAUGUUAAAGCAACAUUUAAUUUAGAGCCUGCUUGAUAACUGGAAGCUGGAACCUCCCUGGGAUGUGGAAGCUCUUUCUCCAUGGAAGCUACAAUGAGUUCUGGAACUGACAAAUACUGUUUAAUAACUUGUUUGGAAUUUAAGGAAGUCUGGAAUUGAAGGAAGGUUGGGAACCUAUGUUUGAUUGAACCUUGAAUUCUGGAGGUUUGGAGAUUGGGAAAUAAGCCAGUCAUAACCGUUCCUUAAAUUUUUCACUGAUGCGAGGUUGAUAAUUUUUUAUGAAGGACAUUUUGAAUUCAUAUGAUCCUUAGUGUGUCUAACAUAUGCACUUCAGAUCACUAAAAAAGAAGACAGAUUGCAUAUAUUUUUGCAUGAAAAUGAAUAUGAAUAUCUUCAUAUUUUAUUGGUAAAUUUUUCCCUUUGUUUCUUUUGUCCCAUAGCCCAUCCAUAAAACAAUACUCUUCUGUGAACAUUGAUAUAUGGUUAACUAAUUUGCGGUCUCUCUCUCUCUCUCUGUUACCUUUCUAUUUUGGAAACUUUGAUUAUGACGACCUGUCAAUCUACUCACCCUCUGUCAUGAAAAAUAAAAUACGACAAGUGAUAUGCAUCUUCCUUGACAUUUCAGGUUAAUCAAAUUUCAACUGAAAUUGCUGAUUAUCAAAUAAGUUCCGAUAUUCAUCCAUAAUAAGCUACCGAUCUCAAGAAGAGUACACCAUCAUAACCCUCUUCCAAUUCUCCAUUACAUACACAGUACGAGCUAUUCCAAAUUAGUUCAAGAACAUUCAACCAUAACCUUCACGUUUCAAAAUACUCAAACAAUUAGGGGCUAAAGCCAUAACCUGUCAAUUGGCCAUCACGUUUAUUGAAUUAGAACAAGUUCAUAGUUUACCCCUUCCAAUAAAUAGCCUUACGAAGCUUUCAUCACUCCAAGACCAGAUCCACCCCCAAAACCUUGAUAAUGCAUUACAUAGAUACAAAGUUCCCCUUGGUACUAGUUGAAAUACUUUAAUUCUUAACACAUGAUGAGAAGACCAUAGUAUAAUUACAAAGGGUAAACACCUUGUACAUGAUACAAUGGUCGGCAUUUAUUAGUUGCUUUGGUUGUGAUCCAUGUUCUUUUUUAUAAGUAUAGAAGUAUUCUUCGUCUUGAUCUCUAGUGCAAAAACCUUUAAAUGAUGCUCUACAUUAUCCGCUCGCUUGAUCUCUACAAUUCCUUAAUGAAGUGUAUAUCCCAAGCCGUUUGCUCUUAAAUACCCUGUAAAAAUUUUUACGUGCCAUUUCCUAUUACACAUGUGAUGGAGGGAAAAAUUAUAUUUAUGUUUAAUUUUUAUUCAAUUUUAAAGGAUGUAUAUUUUGAUUUUAGUUUUAGAGUUUAAUUUUAGGGUUUUGUAGUUUCUAGGAAUUAUAGGUUUUUUAGUUUCUAGGAAUACUAGGGACUUUUUAGAUAUUUUAAUUAAAGUUAAGGAAAUUAGUUUCAAGUUAUACUUAACUUAGGACCUUUUGGUCAUAAGUUAAUUGUAUGGACAAAAAUUGUCCAAAACAAUAAUUUUUCAAUAUAAAUAAGGGCAUGGAUGGGCUGGAGAGGCAUUCUUGUAUUCAUCUUUAAGAAAAACAAGAUUUUGUCUUGUAAAAGAAGCUUAAGGCUUGAGCCCUAGGUGGGAGAAAACCUUAGGGUUUCUUCAAAAGUGCUUGUGUCAAGGUGCUUUCGUGCUAAAUAUCUUAUGUUUCAUCAAGUUUUCCUACAUCAAGUGGUAUCAAUGCCCAUGAUUACACGGAAUUUACUGUAGCAAGCACAUAAGUACUGUAGCAAGUACACAAAAGCUACUGUAGCAAGUCGGGGGAGUUACUGUAGCAUCACUAUUUUUGGUGCCCUAGGUCAACAACAAAAAGGGGAAGUUAUAGUGGGGUCUAGAGUUUGUUGAUUUUGGCCAAAGUUUUACCAAAAUAACUUAGAUUUUUCUGAUUUCAGGAGUUUUUUGUUGAUUGCUUGCCUAGGGUUUGUGAUUUCGACGAACCCAUAGCAGCGAGAAGGGGCCAUAGAAGGGGGAUUUUCGUAGAUCCACUCCGUGAUCCCAUAGAUGACAGAGUUGACAACUUGAAAGGCAAGUACAAUAGCUGGCGUAAUAAUUCGUGAGCCUCAAUAAUGGGCAAGAUGGUGAUCUUUCAGCCCAAGAGGAUCUCGAAUACAAGUCUUUUCACUUUUGUGCUCUGCGUGGGGAGUCGAGUGUUGAGGAUAACGACAGAAGGCCUAGAUGUGGGGAACAUCACUCUAGGGUUUUCGAUUUAAAGGAUGAGAUUUUUUAUUUUAAGACAGAUUGCAUGGAAAGUCAACAAAUUGUAGAUUGGAAUUCACCACCAAUCUUCGAUAUAUACUUAGAUAAACAAUAAGAUUUCUUAGGAGAUUCGAUCUAUGAUAAGGAUCACGAUGAUGGUGAAGAUAUUUUGGAAGAGGGUGAAGUUGUUGGUUUAAUCAUUGAUCUCAAAGAUGCACUUGUGGUGUGUUCUAAGGCUGAGCUUGAGCAAAUUCAGCAGGGUUACAUGGCUGGAGUAAUGCAAAUUCAACAAGUUUAUUUGAUUAAAAAUAUUCUAUCUAGAUAUAGUGACCCAUUCCUUGAGGGUUUCUCAGUUCCAAUGCAUAAAUAUCGUGUUUUGAUCACUGCAGUAACCCACAAGUCCCAGGAUCACGUUUGCAUUAUUCGAGUUGAAAAAUGUAAUCGGAUUGACGCUAAUUCAUCUUAGCACACUUCAAAACUCGAGGACUAGUUUUCUCCAACCAGGGGAGAAUUAUGGAGGGAAAAAUUAUACUUAUUUUUAGUUUUUAUUCAAUUUUAAAGGAUGUAUAUUUUGAUUUUAGUUUUAGGGUUUAAUUCUAGGGUUUUUAGUUUAUAGGAAUUCUGGGGACUUUUUAGAUACUUUAGUUGAAGUAAGGGAGUUUAGUUUCAAGUUAUACUUAAGUUAUAACCUUUUGAUCAAAAGUUAAUUGUAUGAACAAUAUUGUCUAAAAUAAUAAUUUUUCAAUAUAAAUAAGGGCAUUGAUGGGUUGGAGAGUCAUUCAUGUAUUCCUCUUUAAGAAACGAAAGACUUUGUCUUACAAAAGAAGCCUAAGGCUUGAGCCCUAGGUGGGAGAAAACCUUAGGGUUUCUCCAACAUUGCUUGUGUCAAGGUGUUUUCUUACUGAAUUUCAAUGUUUCAUCAAGUUCUCUUGCAUCAACAUGUAAAGAAGGAUUGGUGAUAACUCUAUAAAGCACCAAUUCAUGAAUGUCAUGAGAAAUGAUGCGUUGUGAACAAUACUAAGUAAAAUCUCCUCCUUGUUUCCACAUAUUUACAUUCUUUGGCAUAUAAAAAAUCCAAAUUCAAUCACAAUUAAUCCACCCAGCCCAUUAAAAUCAGGAAACAAAUUCAAUCCACAUGCCAUAGAUCCCAACUCCAAAUACCUUAAAUAUGGGUCUAAUGUAAUUUCAUCCCGUGAAAAGGAGAAGCAUUCAAUCCACAUGCCAAAUAGGGAGUUUAAAUACCAGAGAAAUACAAUAUACAUAAAGUAAUAUCGGUCCCAUGUCAUGCCCACCCAUAUUGUUUUUAGUUCAACAACAUGGACACAUCCAAAGAAAAGAUUCCACACCAAGAACAAAAAGAUUCCACAACAAGCACAAUGUAUUUCACAAACGAGCAAUAAGGCCUCAAUAACAAAGUAGAAGCAUUGUGAAAACCUCCCCUUCUCUCAAUCCAAACAAAGAGAAACCACAACCACCUCAUAGUUUUCAUCUCAAAAAACAGAAAGCUUAGAAGUCACAAGCACACCAUAUAUCACAAACAACCAUUGGGUAUUGAAAUAGUAGGACUUUAAGUACAAAGUUGUACUUGAUAACGACUUCAUAGAGCUUUUGCCUUCACAGCUUCUAAGAUCUCAGGAUCACAAUGUUGGGCUUCAUGGUGAUAAGGGUCCCAAAAUGCUGCACAAAAUAGAAGAGGAGUGGAAUGGGAGUAUUGCUUUGAAUGUGAGACAGAGGGAGAUAGGGAGAGAGAAAGAUGGAGAGAUAUGCAAAGAUAGAAAGAGCAGUGGAGAGAGAAAGAGUGGGGAUCAGGGAAGUGAGAACAAUGAAAGAGGGGAAAGGAGCAAGGAUUAAGGGUUGUCAGGGAGAGAGACUUUGGAUGUGAGAGGGAGAUAGAAAGAUGGAGAGAUUUGUAGGGGGAGAGGGUUGUGAAUAGAAAACAAGAGAGGAGAUAGAGAGAGAAAAUGGAGAAGAGAAGAGAGAGAGAGUGGUGAUCAGGGAAGAGAGAGGGGAAGAGUAGGGUGGCUAGGGCUCAGAGAGAGAGAAAGAGGAGAAUAGAGAGGAAGAUUCUAGGGCUGAGAGAGAGAGAGAGGGUGAGUGUGGAGAUCAGUGAUAGGGGAAGAUAGAGUAAGGCAGGUUAUGGUUUUUGGGGAACGAGUAGGGUGGCUAGGGCUGAGAGAGAGAGAGAAAGAGGAGAAGAGAGAGGAAGAUUCUAGGGCUGAGAGAGAGAGAGAAGGUGUGUGUGGAGAUCAGUGAUAGGGGAAGAUAGAGUAAGGCAGGUUAUGGUUUUUGGGGAAGAGAUAAGUAGCUUUCAUCGGGUUUGUUUUUUUUUUCCACUAGUUUUGCCACUUUUUUGGAGCCCCCACAUUCUAGUAUCUCGGCUUCCAUUGGGUUGGGGUAUGGAAGCUAGCUAUUUGGGGCUUCUUUUGGGGGCAGUAUUUCCAUAUGCUGCAGUACUGUAGCACUUCCCCGUGCCAACAGGGAAGUGUUCCUGUUUGGUGAAACUUGUGGCUACAGUCGAAAUUUCCACCAAACAAGCACUCCCGUAGUUCGUCACAUACAUAGGUUUCCAAAUUUUAUGCAUUUAAGUUAAACAAGAUAACUAUAUCAUAUGUAUACAUGACACAUUUUAUAGUAAAGCAUCCACGCGACGUGGAUGCUCAAUUGGUGCACAACACCCUCCAGGGGUUCAGGGAAGAAAAUGGACGACCAUAAUUGCAUUUAGUAUUUUAAUUUCAAAUUUUCCCCACGUAUUAGAUUGACUUCAAAUUUUGGAGGUUUGCACCAUACUAGGCAGAUCUAAAAUAAUCUAAUAAAUAAUUCAAAAAAUAAAUUGAACAAUAUGCUCUUAAAUGUUUCAAGGGUAUUUUGGUGAAAUGAUUUUUUUUUUACAGAUUCUUAUUUUAAAUUUUUAGGUCCGCUUGAUUGAGAAGUGUCAUCAUCAGAGCCUUUUCCCCAAUAUUUGGGAUCGGUUGUAUAAAUCUUGGUUCGUUAUUCUGCUGUAUCAAGGACCAUACCCUUAGUGAGGCCAUAAGUCCCCAUAUCUUUUUGCCUUACUUUCAACCAUGUUCUUUUGGGCUUACCCCUCGCCCUUUUUGAGCCUUCUACUUGGACCAACUCGCACCUCCUAAUAGGAGUUGUACUGGGUCUGNNNNNNNNNNNNNNNNNNNNAGAGGAGAAGAGAGAGGAAGAUUCUAGGGCUGAGAGAGAGAGAGAAGGUGUGUGUGGAGAUCAGUGAUAGGGGAAGAUAGAAUAAGGCAGGUUAUGGUUUUUGGGGAAGGGAUAAGUAGCUUUCAUCGGGUUUGUUUUUUUUUCCACUAGUUUUACCACUUUUUUGGAGCCCCCACAUUCUAGUAUCUCGGCUUCCAUUGGGUUGGGGUAUGGAAGCUGGCUAUUUGGGGCUUCUUUUGGGGGCAGUAUUUCCAUAUGCUGCAGUACUGUAGCACUUCCGCGUGCCAACAGGGAAGUGUUCCUGUUUGGUGAAACUUGUGGCUACUAGAGUCGAAAUUUCCACCAAACAAGCACUCCCGUAGUUCGUCACAUACAUAUGUUUCCAAAUUUUAUGCAUUUAAGUUAAACAAGAUAACUAUAUCAUAUGUAUACAUGACACAUUUUAUAGUAAAGCAUCCACACGACGUGGACGCUCAAUUGGUGCACAACACCCUCCAGGGGUUCAGGGAAGAAAAUGGACGACCAUAAUUGCAUUUAGUAUUUUAAUUUCAAAUUUUCCCCACGUAUUAGAUUGACUUCAAAUUUUGGAGGUUUGCACCAUACUUAGGCAGAUCUAAAAUAAUCUAAUAAAUAAUUCAAAAAAUAAAUUGAACAAUAUGCUCCUAAAUGUUUCAAGGGUAUUUUGGUGAAAUGAUUUUUUUUUUACAGAUUCUUAUUUUAAAUUUUUAGGUCCGCUUGAUUGAGAAGUGUCAUCAUCAGAGCCUUUUCCCCAAUAUUUGGGAUCGGUUGUACAAAUCUUGGUUCGCUAUUCUGCUGUAUCAAGGACCAUACCCUUAGUGAGGCCAUAAGUCCCCAGAUCUUUUUUCUCUACUUUCAACCAUGUUCUUUUGGGCUUACCCCUCGCCCUUUUUGAGCCUUCUACUUGGACCAACUCGCACCUCCUAAUAGGUGUUGUACUGGGUCUGCUGCACAUGGCCAAUCCACCUAAGUCUACUUUCUCCCAGUUUCUGUCUUUUGGAGCCAUAGCUAAGUUCUUCCUAAUGUAUUCAUUUAGAAUUCUAUCCCUUCUUGUCUUGCCACUUAUCCAUCUCAACAUCCUCAUCUCUGCUACAAUCAUCUUAUGGGUAUUGUUAUUUCUUGACCGCCCAACAUUUCGCCCUAUAAAGUAAAACUGGUGUCACAACUGUCCUAUAAAACGUCCCUUCAGCCUCAUUGUCAUUGAUAUGCAACGAUCACAUAAAACUCCAGUUGCACAUCUCCACUUCGCCCAUCCGGCUUUAAUUCUUGAUUGAGAAGUGUGCGAACGCCAAAUUUCAAGUUAAUCUAAUUGGUAUAAACAAUCAAAUUAAAGUACUAAAUAAAAUCGUGGUUGUCCAUUUUAUUCCUUUCUAAUAUGAAUUGUUUUAGGGUGCUUGUUCACCAUUUGUGUCCACAUAUUGUCAAUACUAUGCUCUCUUUCAAAAUUAAGCUAGUAGUAUUAAUGAUAGUUUUGGAAGCAAAGCUUAUAUAUUACAUUGAAAUUGGACAUUGAAUAUAUGAUAUCUUCUAUUCUUGCUUUUCUUUUAAUUAUUUAAGUUAGUAACUGUGGGUUGCCAAUAUAUAAAAAGCGGUGGGCGGUGCCUAGGCGGCCAAGGGGGGGCUGGCUGUAGGGCAUGAUGUGAGUGCCUAGGCGGUGCCUCAGGCUUGGGUGCCCUAGCCUUAGAAAUAUGCAUGCAUAUGUAUAUAGAACAUGUUGUAUGCAUAUAUAUUAUCUAUUAUAUGUAAUAAAUUAUAUUUCUGUGUAAUCAAUUACAUUAAAAAUUUGAAUAACGGGAAAUAUACAAAGUUUGAAAAUAAUUUGAUAACUGUUAAAUCACUUAACACAUCGAACCCAACCAAAAAGACAUUUUGAAAGAUCUUAAAUACAAAGAAAUUUAACAAAAGCUCACUGACCUUUGUUGUAUUACCUCUGAUUCUCUAUGUUUCAGAUGAAUCUUGAGCUUUAAAUCAUCCAAAAUCUCCUCUUGUAACCUCUCUUAGUAUUUCAUGAACGAUCUUCCAAAAAAGGUUUGAUUUGAUUUGAUUUCUCAAAGACAAUUGCUUUUCAAUCUUAAAAAAGAAAAUAUGAAUUUUUUUAUUUCUUUUUCACAAAAAAGAGGAAAAAGUCUAGGGAGCAACAGGUGGGAGGGGGCCUGGGAUAACCCCCAAUGUCUUCUCCAAAGCCUCUUGCCCUUUAUAUGGGUGGAAGGAUAAAAAUGCUGCAUUUUGGGCAACUGUGGUGGGAGUCUCUGCUGAGAUGCUAGAUGCCUGUGGUGCACUCUGAGGUGCGGUCUACGCACUUGGGGCGGGUGCUUUUUGACACAUUGUGUGAGCCGUUAACCACAGACCACGUAGUAAACUUAAAGUCAAGAUUAACUAAUAAAAGACUGAAAGUAGGUCUUUUUUUUUUUUUCAUUCUAAGAAAAAACUGAAAAUAGGUUUUUAAAUGUUCUUGUUAGCUAGAAUAUCAGUCACUAAGUUUCUCUUUGACAUAUGGAACAUAAUAUAAGAAAACAGUCGAUUAACUGUAUAUAUUGUCUUUCUUUUUUUGUUAGAGAAUGUACCACAUUAUCCUCAUUCUCAAAAAAUAAGUGUACCACAUUAUCCUUUAUAAGGAUGGGAUCUAGAUUAAUUAUACUUUAUCAAUUUUAUUGCUCAAAGUAAUUUUUUAUUUAUUCUCCAAAUUUUCUUAGACUCAUAUACAUGUGUGUGUUUGUGUAGGGGAGUGAUUUAGGCAAUGGUUUAAUAGUAAAAUAGUUAAACGACUCCUUCAAAAACCAAACAUACAUACAUAUCUGUGUGUGCGAGCGUGUUUGCACACGUGAUCGUGCAUGCAUGCGUGUCUUCAGAGUGAUUUCAUGGCAAGGGUUUAAUCAUAAUAUAAUUCAAUGACUACUUCCAAGACCAUGUGUGUGUGUGUGCGCGCCUUCAAAGUGAUUUCAUGGCAAGGGUUUAAUCAUAAUAUAAUGCAAUGACUUCUUCAAAGACCAUGUUAGGGGCAUUUGUUCACUAAAACAUUUUGUACACACUCUCUUCACCAUAAAGAUCAAUCUCAAAAAAUUAAAAAUUUUAAAAAGCACCAACAGGGAGGGCAUUCAGUUAGAUCAGGGCCAUAAAGGGAUUUUUUCGAACCCCAAAUUUUGUUAAUAACCUUAUAAUCUAUAAAAGAACAAUUUAGAAAAGAAAAAAUUGAUUUUGAGUCUUAAGGUCUAGAUGUAAAUAUCCACCAAAUGGAUAGUUUGUACCAGUGUUUAAAAAUUGCCGAUCCGAUCCGGAAUUGGGCGAUCGGGAUCGGAUAUCGGUGAUACCGCUCCGAAUCCAAAAAAAUAAAACGGGAUCCAAACGGUUACAUCUUUUUUGACUUUUUUUAUUGAAACACUCGCUGCACGUUUGACUUUUUUAUUGAAAAAUCGCUGCACAGCACGGUAAGGUGCCUCAAUAAUGCCUCACUAGCUGUGUCAUUGGCCCAAGCGCAAAUAUAACUCCUUUAAGUUAUCUUGUCUCUGUUUUAUAACCCCUUCCACCCCUUCACCUCCCGUACUUCCACGAUGUGAGAUAUAUAUUACAUAACAAAUGAGCGGGAUUCUCGCCUCCCCAACUCUCGCACUCUCUCUGUCCACCAAACUCUUUCACGCCAACAUGGUCUCUCUCGCGAUUUGGUCAAUUGGACAACGCCUCCAUAAUUACCAAAAAAAAAAAAAAAAAAAACUCCACCAAAACUCUCUCUAGAACCGGUGAAGUGUGUAUAGCUAUUUGAAAAGAAAAAAAAUAGUACUAGCUCAUAGGAUAUUAGAACAAUAAAAAAUAAUAUUAAUACUAGUUUAUUGACCAUUAAAAAAAAUUACUAGUUUAUGAGGCAUUUUAAGAGAAAAAAAAUAACACUAGCCCAAACCACUUUAAAAUCUAUUUUAAAGUUGCGUUGUCAAUUAUCCCGUAUUGCUAGUAUGAUAGUUAUUUGUUUUUCUAAUUUUGUUAUAAAAUAAUUACAAAUUUACGUUUCUAAAUUCUAUACUUUUAUAGAUAUAUUUAUUUGUAAGGGUCACAAUUUUGUUUAUUACAAUAUUAUAAUUGAUAAUAUACAUUGAUAACCAAAUCUUGUAUUUUAUUUAUUUAUUUAUUUACAUUAUAAAUUAUAUAAUGUAUUAUUUUUAUAAUAGCUGUAACUAAUUUUUUUAAAAAAUUAGAUGAUAUUAUCAGACAAAUUUUAAAUUUAUUCAUAUAGGGAAAGAACAUCUCAAUAUUCGCAUAUUGAUAAAAAAAAUGAAAGUUCUUAAUGUAGUACCCCCAUUUUUUAUUGGAUUCCUAAAAAGCAACAUUUAUAAUGAUUUUUAAUAAUUUUUUUGGAAUUUUUUGAAGGCCGAAUUCGAUAGAUUUGACCAACUCCCGAUCCAAAACGCCGAUUCACCGAUUCGGAUGGGUUUUUGGGGUGCCCGAUCCGGAGCACCGAUCUGUUUUUUAAACCACUGUACAUUGUUGGUUUGGGACUCCUCUGGACCUUUUUUCUUUGCAUAUCUGAAAGUGUAAGCUGACUUUUUCCUUUGCUCAUAUUUUCCCUUAUAGCUAAUCUAAGUAGGCUGUCUAAUGUUGGAAGAAAAAUAUUUCCUUCAUGUUUUGAUAAAAUUUAUCGUUGUAAUCUCUAGUAAAGAAGUGCUAUUGAUGGUAGAUGAAUGGCAGGUAACUAGGAUGUUUGGUGUUGAUGAAGAAUUCGGUGAGGAUGCAAUCUUGGGAAAGCUUGAAGGCAUGAAAGAUGUGAUUGAACAAGUCAACAGACAGUUCCGUAAUCCAGUAAGAUCAAAGCAUUUCAAUUCUUAUAUUUUUUUUUGUGACUAAUAAAACCUUUUUAGUUAUCAAAAGAAGAUGAAACAUUUGAACCAAUGUCCCAGGACUCGCCUCGGCCAAGUUACUUUCCCCUUAGCCGAGUGAAUUACAGGGGCGAGUCCAAGUAACUCGCCCAAGUCCAGUCCGAAUAAAGAAAAUAAAAAGAAAAACAAAAUAAAUAGUACAAAUUAUAUGACAUGCCCGUUUCUCAAAAAAAAAAAAAUUAUAUGACAUGCUCAAUAAUUACAACUACCUUGAUUGGGCAUCUUGGUUAGACGCCAUGGUCCCUUAAGAUGAGGUUGAGGGAUCAACAUACAUCAUCUGCAUUAUUUUCAACUGCUUUAAAAGAAAGGGCUGUAUGUUCUCCUAAAUAAAUGACAUGCCUCAUUUCUUACAACUAGCUUAAACGGGUGUCUUGGUUAGACAGUGUGGCUCCUUUACAUGAGGUUUGAGGGAUCGAACCACAACAUCUGGAUUAUUUUUGAACUCCGUAAAACAUUAUUUUCUUUGAAGGGACUCGAACCUCCAACAUGAGGCUCAAAAGCGAUCAAUGCUAGCCAAAACACUUUCUGAGCAUUCUCAUAUUAAAAUAGACGUAUUAUUUAUAUUAUAAAAAAGGGCUAUAUGUCCUCUAAAAUUAAGGACGAGCCUAGAACGCUAGGCAUUAAGAGAGGGCGGUGUUCUAUUGGGUCGAACCUCCACCAUGAGCCCAAGAACUUUAAAUAUUAACCAAGAACAGAACCUAUCCGAACAUUUUCAAAUGAAAUUGGACAUAAUAUUAUCUAUAUACUAUACAAUCAUGAGUGUACAAUGUACAAGGUAGAAACUCGCUUUGCAGUUGAAUUAUUUCCCUGCUCUUCUUCCUAUCCUAGUCAUCACAUGAUUUUGAGUGUCUUUUACAGGACUUGACGACCUUUGUUUGUGUUUGCAUUCCGGAGUUUCUCUCACUAUAUGAGACAGAGAGGUUGGUGCAAGAGCUUGCGAAAUUUGAGAUUGACACCCACAAUAUCAUCAUUAAUCAAGUCCUCUUUGAUGAAGAAGGUAGAUGUUAUUUUUUAGUCCUUCACUGAAAGAUGCAUUAAUCGGAAAUAUCCUUUGAUGGUGCUUUUCUACUUUCCUUUUUUUGUAUUUCUAGGAACAUCAUAAACAGUAGUCAUAAUUGGAUUUCAAUGAAUAAACUGCAUUGAAUUGUAUGGAUAGACUUGAGUAUUAAUUGCAACCGAAACUUCAUAAUUGGAUUUCAAUGAAUAAAGUGCAUUGAAUUGUAUAUAUAGACUUGAGUAUUAAUUGCAACUGAAACUUUAACUUUCUCUGACAAGACUGUUUAUUUAGUUUAUAGCUAUCUUUCUUCGUAUGGUCUUUUAGAUGCUUCUUUUGUUCUUUUGUCUUCGUGAUAGGCUAUUGGGUAGUUACAAUUCGUCUCUCUUCUAAACUAACCGGCAGUCCGGCACAGACAACAAAAAUAAUAUGUUCCACAAGGUUUCCAAAAUCUGUCGUAUUAGUAUGUGAUCAUUUAUUGCUAUUUCUUGGAAAUAACUGAACCAAUCCUAGAAGGAUUUAAUGACCGAAACCUUGUUCCAUUGACCUGCAACUUGUAACCAUGUCUCUGAUGUAAUGCUUUAUUUAGGUCAUCAUCUUCCAAAAAUCUCUCUAAAGUAAUAGUGAUAUUCUUUUUUGUGAUUCCUUUUUUUAUCAUUUAUUUUUAAGAUUUGAAUUUCUUUUCUACAAUUUCUCCUACCAAUUCCGGUACUCAAUGUAGAUAGGAGGGAGUAUACCACGGUGUCUGUGUAUAGUAUAUGAAGUUGCUCAAUUGCUUCUGUAAAGCGAACCUCUAUUCUGAAACUGGUGUUGCCUAAUAUAGAAAAGUAAAUGGUUAAAUGUAUAGGAAAUUAGAUAUGGGUGACGUGUUUUUUUAAUGAUUUCUAGAUGUGAUUUUCGAAAGAACUUAAGGGUAUGGCUGCUACUUCUAAUAGAUGUUGAAUCCAAGCUGUUGAAAGCGCGAAUGAAGAUGCAAAAGAAAUAUCUGGAUCAAUUCUAUAUGUUAUAUGAGGACUUCAACAUCACUUUGCUACCCCUGCUUCCUGAGGAGGUAAGUAACCAGGGACCAUAUAUUGUACUUGUUAAGGGUAUUAUACUAUUGGUAACUCAUACUCAAACGUCCACCAUAUAUACUCAUACCUAGAUGGUAGACACGAGCAACAGUCCCCUCUUAAAAACAAUGGCUGCCUUAAAUAACUCAUCUCCACUGUCUGUGGGUAUUGUUUGUGAGUACCCAAUACUAGUACAAAAUGUCCCAAGUCUAGGCCUAGGACUGGUUAGAGAGAGAGAGAGAGAGAGAGAGAGAGAGCUAACUGAACUGAACUGAGGUCUAUANNNNNNNNNNNNNNNNNNNNNNNNNNNNNNNNNNNNNNNNNNNNNNNNNNNNNNNNNNNNNNNNNNNNNNNNNNNNNNNNNNNNNNNNNNNNNNNNNNNNNNNNNNNNNNNNNNNNNNNNNNNNNNNNNNNNNNNNNNNNNNNNNNNNNNNNNNNNNNNNNNNNNNNNNNNNNNNNNNNNNNNNNNNNNNNNNNNNNNNNNNNNNNNNNNNNNNNNNNNNNNNNNNNNNNNNNNNNNNNNNNNNNNNNNNNNNNNNNNNNNNNNNNNNNNNNNNNNNNNNNNNNNNNNNNNNNNNNNNNNNNNNNNNNNNNNNNNNNNNNNNNNNNNNNNNNNNNNNNNNNNNNNNNNNNNNNNNNNNNNNNNNNNNNNNNNNNNNNNNNNNNNNNNNNNNNNNNNNNNNNNNNNNNNNNNNNNNNNNNNNNNNNNNNNNNNNNNNNNNNNNNNNNNNNNNNNNNNNNNNNNNNNNNNNNNNNNNNNNNNNNNNNNNNNNNNNNNNNNNNNNNNNNNNNNUUGUGUGAGAGAGAGAGAGAGAGAGGAGAGGGAGAUAGAGAGAGAGUGGUGUGACUGAGGGUUGGUCAUGUGGAGUGGAAGUUCUUGCACAUGCUCAUGUGUGUGUGCUCGUGUGUGUGUGUGUGUGCACGUGUGUGCAUGUUUGAGAGAGAGAGCCUAACUAGAAUUGGUGUUUCUCAGGUUUGUGGGGUUGAAGCACUAAAGAAAUUUUCUGCACACGUCUUAACACCAUAUCAGCCGUCCACCACCCCCAAGGGGACUGUGGAAGAGCUGGUGAAAAGAAUAUCUACCCUCAGGUUGCAACUCAAAGAGGCUGAAACUGAGCUUGAAAGACUAAGGAAAGGCAAAGAUAAGAUCUGAGUCCAGUUUCUUCUUGCAUCAUUUUCUUGCAAUUCUUUCAAUUUUGAGUUCCACUUUUUUGUUCCCUUGUAACAUGACAUAAUGGCCCAUGCUGCAUUGCUGCCUAUUUAUCAACCGAGUUUUCCAAUCUCCUCUUUCUCUGCAAAAUACUAGAUUGUUUAUCACAUUGCUUUCUUACAAAUGUUGAGUUUGAAUGAUACACUCCCAACCACCUAAUUUUAUAAAUAAACUGUCUUAUUAUGAACUUUCCCUUUGUUUAGCAAAAAAAAAAAAGAUGAAUUUAACUUGUAAAUUGUGGGACCUGAAAUGAGAAAUGAUGACAUGAACCCAUUGUUUAAGGUUAGAACAUUAAAAUUCGUACAUGUUAAACAUGCACCAUUUUGGCAUAAAACCAGUUGUAUGGAUGACUUAAUUAGGCACUUACAAGAUGAGGUACCGCGAUGUAUGUUGUUCAUAUGAUAUAGUUUUGAUCGAUAAGUCCCAAAAUGGUGUCAACACAAAGUUACAACUUUGGAAGGAUGCUCUAAAGGUUUUAAAAUUAUCUGGACUAAGAUAAAGUAUAUAGAAUGCAAGUUUAAUAAUAAUAGGAGUACGGACGAUGAAAUAGUUAAGAUUGACGGUUGGGAAAUAUAAAAAAGAGUGCAUUUCAAUAUCUUGGAUCAAUAAUCCAUGAAAAUGGAGAGACUAAGGAAGACGUCGCACAUAGAAUUAGAGCUGGAGGGAUGAAAUGAAGAUGUGCAAUCACAAUUUUAUAUGAUCGCUGCAUACCAAUGAAGUUGAAGGGUAAGUUUUAUAAAACAACUGUGAAACUAGGCUUUGCUCUAUGGGGCGGAAUAUUGGGCGGUCAAAAAACAAUAUACCCAUAGAAUGAGUUUAGCGGAGAUAAGGAUGUUGAGAUGGAUGAGUGGCAAGACAAGAAUGGAUAGAAUUCACAAUGAAUAAAUUUGGGAAAGUUUAGGUGUGGCACCAAUAAGUGAUGAGAUGGACUAGAUAUAGGUGGACUGGCCAAUCUGUAACGUAGACGCAAUAAACUUGUUAGGAGGUGCGAGUUAGUUUAAGUUGAAGGCUACAAAGGGCAAGAGGUAGGUCCAAAAGGACAUGGUUGGAAGUAAUGAAAAAAUAUAUGAAGACUUAUAGCCUCAUUGAAAGAAUGAUCCUUAAUAGAGCAGAAUGACGGAUUCGGAUUUGUGUAGUUGGCCUCAAUUAAUUGAGAAAAAGUUUUGACGAUGAUGAUGAAAGGGUGAAGCUAUUGACUCUUGUUAUAACCUUUUUCGUUAUUUCCCCUUAGAUGAUAUCAUCGUUAUCUUUGUUAGUUUGACCUCCUUUAAAGCAUGCACGAUAAAUGGUUGCUUGCCUCUUUUGUUAGAUUUGAAGUUGGGUGAUUGUGGCGGUGUCAUUUUUCCACAUAAUGCCUAAGAGAAUGUUUUUUGAACUUUGCAUAGGGUGAAUGAUAGAACUGUAAUCGAUUGAUUUCACAUCUGAUGGUUAGAGGUGAUUGUGACUUAUAUCUAAAAAAAUUGCUCAAAUCUCCUCUGUGCCCUCUUUGGCACCUCUCUCUUAUCUAUUAUUUUUUCUCUCUCACCUCAUUUUUCUCCAAUACAAAACGUGGGUUGACUAUAUAAAUCUUAGUUCGCUAUUUUGUUCUAUUAAAAGCCAUAUCUUUUGUGUAUUGGCAUAUACCAUUAUCUUUGCUAUAUAAUUGUAGCCUUUCUUUUUUAUCAACUCCAAUCCCAUGUCAGCACAUUGCUAGUACAUAGGAAGCAAGCUAUCACAACUAUUAAGAGUAGAAGGACCUACAAUUGUAUUAUUAUGUUGGUAAAGAUGCUAGUCUACACCUUCACACUAUGUAUUACAAUGGGGCUCCUUACAUUAUGGACUGAAUCACUCCAUAUAAGAGCCCCUGAUGCAAUCCUGUGAUAUCCAAAGGAAUUGCCCAUGAUCUUCACUUGAAACGACCCAGUCUUAUUGCACGUAUUGAAGCUGAGAUUUUGAGGGGAUACAGUGAUGUUGAUGCCUUGUGGAGCCUCAACUUUGGCAGUAUACACAGAGUCUUGAUCAUCAACAUUUGUUACGGUGCGUUCGAAUGUGGCUUCGAAAGGGCCAUCGGUGUUGUUCACAGUGAGUUGUAUGGUGGGGUAAUUUAGGCCAUCGGUUCCCUUUGCUUGAGGAAAACUCGAGCAGGGGGAGAUGCUAUUGUCCCAAGCUUUUCCCGGGCUGAUUCCUAACCGGCACAGGUACGCUGAAUAGUCUGUCUCGUUCAUGUCGUACACGAGACCAGGAUUUAGGGCUCCCACAGGGUUGAUCAUUCCAGCACCGUAGGCGAACUCAGCUUGGUGCUGGACUGAUAUUGCUGGAGUUGCUAGAACAAGAUCAGUCAUGUGAUUAGUUACAAUGUGGCAUGAAUGGAAUCGGUGUCGGUGUCCACAGAUGUCGAUAAUACGUAGUACUUUAGCCAAUGCACGUAGACAUAAUUGUACUCUUAACUAUUAUAUAUAAAUAUUAGAGUUUUUGGUAUAUAUAAUAUAAUUUCCCUUUUAAUGCUACAUAAUAAGUGGAUGAAGAGGUGGUAGAGAAGAGGAUGAUAUGCCAUAAUGGCUUGAGCACCUCAACAAUAUUUGAACAUAAAUGAAGCAAAAUUUUUUAUCUAUGCUCAAGCCGUAUUAUUUCAAUAUUUCGUAAAGUAAGAUUGUGAAUCAAGCUUGAGAAAGAGCCAUAUUGGUAUCCAAAACUCAAAAGAGCUAAUUUUCAAGUUUUUUUUUUUUUUUGAACUUCAACUAUGAAUCAAUUUUCAAGGAAUUGAUACGGGUAUUUGUCAACAUUCAAUUCAAUGUUUUGUGAUGCACUUCGUUUAAGCUCCAUUCCCUUUCCCUCCGCUAUACUAACUUUCACUGUAAACCACAUUUUCAUGUAAAUUUGAACAACUAACUCUUUAAUGAAAAAGUUAAUUGAAACGGGAUUACCUAACUUACGGAUGAAAAUCUCAUGUUUCAAAAAAUAUUCAGACCGAAGUAUCAUGAUUUUGAUCAUUGUAUUCUACAAGAGUAAAAUCAAACCAAAUUUAAUGCAGAACUUAAUGCAAAUGAAUUGGAAAAAUAUAGAUAACUGGAUGGGGUCCCAAGCCCAAGGUAGGCAACUCGAAUCAGCUGAGUUUAUCCUAGACUCAUUUGAGUCCUAAAAAGGGUAAUAACUGGCAACUCGACUCAGCCGGGUUUCGAAUGUAACCGCUUGUUGAGUCUUGAGUAAGACUCGCCAAUUUCUCAAAUGCACGCACCAUUUUGCUUAGGGAUGACAAUGGACCCAACUAAACUUGGGACUUGAAUACUAUUCGGGAUUGGGUCUAGACCCGAUCUGGGCCCGACCCAAAUAAUAUGGGUAAUGUGUAGGUAUUCAUAAAUGUUGCUAAUACAUUUGUUUUUUUUUAGGUAUUUUCAGUGGAAUAUGUGAGUAUUCAAAGAUGUUGUGGAAUACUGUAAAUGUUGCCAAUAAUAUAAGUAUAUAAGGUAAAUGUUGCCAAUAAUAUAAGUAUAUGAUGGUUAAAAAAAGGGCAAGAAAAAAAAGAAAGACCAGAUCCAGGACCCGACGAGUAGAUCCGACUUCGGGUCUGGGUAUGGGUCCAAAUUUUUUGACCGAAAAGUUGGGUCUGGGGUCCAAAUUUUGGACCCGAAUAGUAUUGGGUUUGGGUCUACGUUCCCGUCUACAUCCACGUCCGGUUACAAUCCCAUUACCAACCCUAAUUUUUCUAAACUGAAACACAUGUUGUGCCAUACUUACUGGUAGUGGUGAUGGCUGAUUUAAUUGCAGCUGGUGACCAAGUAGGGUGAAAAGACUUAAUGUAGGCUGCCACCCCACCAACAUGGGGAGUUGCAAAUGAUGUGCCCGUACCAAAACUGAAUGUGGGCCGGUUGUGAGAACUGAAAGUAUCGUAGAGAUAAGUCUUAUAACUUGGAAUGGCAAGCAAUAUAUUUUCCCCCGGUGCGACAACAUCUGGCUGCAUCAAACAAAAUAAACUUUUAUUUGACUUCUUUUCAUAGAUUUUAUUCAGAUAUUAAAGAAGAGCAAGAAAAAUUUAUUUGUUUUGAAAAUAAUAUCAAGAAAGAAAAUGGUUAGAUUACCUUGUUUGGGAUUUUCAAGACAAAUUUUGAAGUAUCAAACACCACCUAAACUGAUAAAUUUGUGACAAAGUCAAAGCCUAAGGGACUCUGAUAUUUUGACUAAUUGGUAAUUUGAUCUUGAAAAUCAUUGCUAUCAUCAACGUGACAUUUUUUUAUUAAUUGAGGUCGGUUACGCGAAUUUUGGUUCGUCAUUCUACUCUGAUACUUUGAUAAAUUGGUAAUUUGAUCUUGAAAAUCAUUGCUAUCAUUAACAUGCAUUUUUCUAUUAAUUGAGGUCGGUUACACAAAUUUUGGUCCGUCAUUCUACUUUAUUAAAAACCAUAACCUCAGUGAAACAUUGUUCCAGAGUCAAGAGCAUCAGAAAUAUAAUAUCAUAAAUCGAAUGUAUCAAUUGUGCCUUGGUAACGCAUCAUGUUUCCAGCCAUACAAAUUUUCAUAAACUUUUUGUGCAACUUUAUCACUGUAACAAAAUAGAGAUUUUUGGGGAGUCCCUAAAUGAGUAUGUGAUAGUUGAGAGAGAGAGAGAGAGAGAAAGUGUGUGUGUGAGAAGAGAUAUUUAGGAAUUGAUAUUAGGAACUUAAAGGGCAUGAGAGAGAGAGAGAGUCUGUAUUUAGCAAGGGGGAAUUAAGAGCUUGUUGCAAAUAUACUCACAAGCUAUACAAUUUUUUUGGAAGUUUGAAUGUAUCCUAAUUUAAUUGAAAUUGGUUUCUUAAUUAGGAUAAUUUAUAAGAAGACUUUUGUAAAGAUCUUAAUUUUUGCUUGUUUUACUAGUCAAAUUCCUUUUUGCUUCUAGGGCAAGUGUACUAUAUUCUUAUGGGUGCGUAAUUUAUAUUUAUUCCGUUAGUCCCUAUUUGGGAGGAUGUUUUUAAUUUGAAAUUUUGAGAACCAUCUAAAAAUCACUGGUGGAUUCAUCUCAUAGAUAAAAUUAAAAUUGAUUUUUUUAACACUUGGAUAUCACACUCUAAUAAUUGGAUAGUCUCUAUGGUUGUAGACGUUAUAUAUUUUUUUUAAAGUGUAUAGAGAGUGCAAUUAGGUUAUAUUUUAUUUUUUGACGGUAACAUGGUUGAAGAGCUUUUAUCCCCAAAAUUAAUCCUAGAUGCUUUACCCGUGGGAGUAAAUGGAUAGGUGACUCCCAAAGGAGUAUAAUAUUUUUUACUUCUAAUUUUUGCCGGUUAGGAUAUACAACAUGCACGUGUACGGAUGAUUUUAUUCCUCUCCCAAAGUUUUUCUCUAUAAUUUCAAUGCUAUUUCCAUAGAGCUUUAUUUUCUCUCGGCUAAUCUUAGUUAUUCUCUUUUGUUUGAUGGUUGUAAUUUUUCAUUUGUAUUUAAAUUUUUUUAUGUUUUAUCGGAUUGUAUACUAUAAGAUCAUUUACUUUUGAUAUAAGAAAUGCCUCUGGCUAGGCUUGGUGUAAGCUGACAUGGCCUGUUUGGCAGCCCUAUGUGUGAUGCAAUGUACUCCAAUACAAGAGACACACGUGCGUACGUGUAAACACACGAAGAGAGAGAGAGAGAUUUGUAAUCUUAAUAAGGGCUAAGAUUGUACCUUAAGCACUCCCCAUCCUAAGCGAUCCGGACCUCGACAAGAUCCGGAUGACACAAUCGGGGCAACCCCACCGCCAAUGAUGCUUUCCGUUUGCAAUAUCUUUCCCACAGCAGACCUAAUUGAAGCAUAUAACAAUGUCCAAUAAAAAUUAAAUAGGGCCAUUAUUUAAUGGGUGUGAUUUAAAUAAAGCUGGGACCCCAAACAAUCAAAGUAAAGCGCACCUUCAAAUAUUAUUAAAAGAUAUUGUUUAAACACUAAAAAUAUUUGUGAUGAGAUGACCUAAAGAUUUAUUUUUAUCUCUAAUUAUAAAAUUUAAAGCGUAAAAAAUAGUAUAGAUUGAGCAUAUCUAUGAACACUUCAAAUAUUGAAAAUUGACGGUCCGAAAAUUUAUUACAAGAUGCGCUAUUUUCAAGAUUUGAAAUUGAUUUUUCUCAUGCCCAUGCAUCUUGAGGUUGAGAUGAUCAAUUUGAAGAUUUUUGGGUAUAGAAACAACCUCUUUUAGUGAAAUUUUGAGGUGUGAUUUAAUUUGAUUUUGUAAGGCCUUGCCCUUAUCUAAACCUUGUCCUUAUUUAGAUUUCUUCCUACGGUCUUCUAAUUCUAUGUUACUAAUAUGCAAAGAAAGAGUUAUUUUAAUUUGGAAUUAAUUUUUUUUAUUAAGAAGAAGUGUAAUCUAAAAGUAUGACUUUGCAGAGUAAUUGUGUGGUAUCGGGUUGGUAUUUUUUAAGAUUGACACUUUUAAAGGUGCAUCAUGACUGAAUUUAUUCAUGAACAAAUCUCCUAAUCAACUCUAGCUUAGAUUUCCAACAUGUAACUUACGAAAAGAUUUUAUUGUCUUCAAGGGCUUAUUUUUUAGAGAUUCAUGAUUAACUGAUCUCCGUUGGACCUGAAUGUGAGCUUUAGAGCAAUGCCUGAUACCAAUUGUUCUUGUUGUAUAUAUAACUAUCAUGUUGAUAUUAUUGUUAGCUCACUUAAAAAAAGAACAAAAAGAGAGAGAGUUAAAUAACACAUACUUAUUGGAUUUCAAAUAUUGCAAGAGUAUAUUGGUGGUGGACCUAUUGAUUCCGAUUUGUGGUCCAUCAGACUCAGAUAGUACGUAGGGAUUCUCGACGAGAUCAGGUGGUGGAACAGUGUCGAACCAGAUUGAUCCAACGAUGCCCUGGUGUGAACGCUUGAAGUACUGGCGCAUCAUACCGGCUUCCGGUGGAAUUUUACAUAAUAAAAUCUUACCCUUAGUCCUAUCGGAGUCCAUGUAAAAAUAACAAGUCCUAGAAACAAACAAGCAUUAAAACAAGUUAGGAUCUUCAUGAAAUAAUUUUCAUACUCACACCAUAUUUGCUUAAGAAAUUUUGAAAUUUCAUAAAGAGACAGGUGGUCUCGGCCGAGCAAAUUAAUACCCUGUUUGGACAUCAACGUUUUGAGGAUUAAGAUUAGCAGAGUGUUGUGAUUUGGGUGAGUAACUCGAAAUCGUCCUAUGUGCAAGGUCAAGUUAGGGCAAGUUCCAUAGCCACUUGCCCAAAAGGAGUGAAAAAGUAUAUAUAUAUAUAUAAAAAGAGAGAAAAGGUUAAAAAAUAAUUUGAAAAACACCACCAUAUUACUUGUUAUUAGUUUGUUAUAUGAUUUUGAUAGUUUUUAAGGUGAUUUGGGGAACUUUUAUAUUGUUUAAAAAAAUUCAGAAAUAUUCAAGAUCUGAAUCAAAAUUUUUAAUAAUCCAUCUUUUGUAGAGUUUUUUCUGAUGAUUUCUAUUGCCUCUUUUAUGCUCUAAAUAACUUGUAAACCCGCUGAUUCAACCAGCCUAAUCAGGCAAGUCCCAGCUAGUCCACAAAGUGUUAAAAAAAAUAAAAAAAUACAAAAAAUAUAUUUAAAGCAUGAUUAAAUAAAGCACAUCCAAAUGAAGUUGAAAAGUAGUAGAAAAAAGUGGGUUUUAAAAAAUUGAUUUGAGCUCAAGGUAUUUUUAAAAUUUUCUAAAAGAGAUAGGAAAAUGUAAAAAUAAAUAUUCAGGGCAAAACACUUUCGAAUUCUUCUCAAAAUGAUAAAAAAAAUAAUUCAAAAAUACAUUACAAACAAAUCCCUUAUUAUUUGAGGUUUUAUAUACAUUUUUAAAAAAUAUUUAAAUACCCUUUGGACCCUCGAAACCGGAUCGGCCAAUGACCUAUUUCAGUUUGACCAGCCGGUUCCAAAUUGGAUCGUCCGAGUUUGCGAACACUGGUCUGGUGGUUCAUAGUUUCUUUCCGGAAUCGGUAGCAAGAGUCCAAGUGAGUCUCUGCUAGUUAUCAUUGCAAGGAAAGAAAAGAGUAUAACUAACCCUGCAUUAUCUCUGCAUUCCUCAUCCUUGAAGUCACAUUGUGAGCUGUCCACACUCGUGAUUAAAGGUGCGAAAUUCUUCGGGGACUUGAACACAUUUAUGGCCCCCUCUCCCUGCACACACAUUGCUCCACACAUAAAAAUGUUAGAUUGCAGAGAAAGAGAGAGGGAAACACACAUUGCUCGACACAUAAAAGUUAGAUUGCAGAGAGAGAGAGAGAGAGUAAGAUUACUGCAUUGUAACGAUUUCAGUAGGAUUAUUGCAUUGUAACGAUUCAGUAAUUCGUUUUUUCAAAAAUAGAAUCCAGUCUCAUUUCGAUUUUUGAAAAACAAAAAAUAGGCGGAACUGUCAUGUUUUAAAAGAUAGUAAAUACAGCAGAUAUAUACCUAAUUUCCCCUCUUUUUCUUUUUUUUCUUUUGAAGAGAGGAUUUUAUAAAUUUUCGGACUUUUUUUUUUUGGUAGAGGAGUUGAACUUAUGAUGUGGAGUUGAGACUGUCAACAACUGUGCAGAUCAAGUCUAGGUUCGAAUGCUUAGCCUGAUUACUAGCAGUGAAAUUCAAACUUAGACGAGUAGACUCAGAAUCGUCGAAACCUGUCCAAUUUUACAAGCCGAGCAAGAAUCAAACCUAUGGGAACCGGGCGACUCUUGCUUGCUCCUAAUAUUUAAUAAUUACUUCUUCAAGACUUGGUCGGGUUCCAACAAAUUCGGCCGAGUCCAAGUUUGUGAGCUCGGGCACUGGAAAAUCGCGAGUCCUGACUCAGGUCCUUUUUUAAAACUGUGGUGUGGAAAGGAAGAUGAUGAAUAAGUGGGGGAUUUACUUCGAGCUUUUGGCCAUUGCCUAAAAGGAGAGUAUUCUUCAGCUGUCGAUCAGUAUUUGUCAUGCCCACUGUGAGAAUCCAUGGUGCACAAUUGCGUACUGUCCCCAACCCCGGCCCAUCAUUCCCUGCGCCGGCCACUGAAAGGAUACCCUUUUUCAUCGCAUGGAAGGUGCCGAUACUCAGACCGCCAUCAAAGGUGCCAGUCUCAUCAUCAACCACCAAUGAAAUUGAUAGAAUAUCAACACCAUCUGCUAUGGCUUCAUCCAUGGCUUUGAGGAUAUCUGCUUCGUAACACUCGUUAUCUGGUGCUCUCCAGCAUACCUUGUACAUUGCGAUUCUAGCACCAGGGACAGCCCCUCGUGCUGUGCCAUUAGCGAUGCCAAAUAAGUUCGCGUUGUCGACCCAGUUUCCAGCUGCGAUCGAAGCCACAGAGGUGCCAUGGCCUGCCAGGUCCAUCGGCGAAUACACAUCUUCUGUAGUGGCAUCACCUUCGUACUUUUUACCCUCCGGGAAGAUUUUCGCCCCUACAACCUUGCUUCACAGCCAAAUUUUUGAAAAUAGUUCAAGGUGAGGGAGAAAGCCAUGAUGUGUCUAUGUCUUUACUCAACUAAGUCGUAAUAGUAGCAGAAAAAUGUAGAAGCAGUAGAAAAAUGUAGAAUUAAGGUGCACCUCUAAAAUCCUUCGAAAAAAUGUAGAAUUAAGGUGUACUUCUAAAAUUUUUUUAAAAAUGUAGAAUUAAGGUUCACCUCUAAAAUCUUUACAAAAAAAAAAAAAAAAAAAAGAAGAAGUAGUUUUUUGUUCGUAAAACUUCUAAUUGAUCAUCUCAACAUCAAGAUAUAUAUAUAUAUAUAUAUAUAUAUAUAUAUAUAUAUAUAUAGUAAGAAAGAAAGACGACUACGUAACGUAAAUAAAUAAUAUACUACUAUAUUAUUAUUACGUACACUACUUACUUUACUUUAAUUAACUUANNNNNNNNNNNNNNNNNNNNNNNNNNNNNNNNNNNNNUACUAACUAACUAAAACGUAAAAAAGUAAAAAAGUAAAAGUUAAGUUUUAGUUUACGUUUAACUUAACUUAACUUAUAGUAUACUACUACACUACAUAUAUAUAUAUAUAUAUAUAUAUAUAUAUAUAUAUAUAUAUAUAUAUGGAUAUAGAGAAAAAAGAGAUCUCAAGUCGUAAAAAUAAUAUAUCCUCCAAUAUAUUAUAUGGACCAUCUAUUUUUCAAAAUUUUCAUACGUUUAUAGUUUUGCUUGAUUUGAACCAUUUUUGGAGUUUAAAAUUUAAAAAUACAACUAACCGAGAGAUUUUAAGAUGUUAGAAUUACUUGUUGCAGGUGAAGUUGGCAAAACAAGAACCUUUCCACUUUGCUGGGGGAGGGCCAAAAUUAUCUCCAUUCAAACUUUCAACACUGGGGUCGAUUCCUGAGAGACACUAAUUCAAGUCAAUCUAGAAUCACAGAUAAACAGUCUAUUCUGCAACACACAAGAUUGUUUUAAGCAAUGAUUAUGUGGUCACGCUCAGCCGUGGUCUAUUUACCUGAAUCUAUCACACCAAUGAUGAUGUCACUUUCGGCCGCAUGAACCCUUGGAGCACUCUUAUUAAGGCCCACGAAAUCCCAAGAUCUAGUUAUCAGAAGCUUAUGCCGUCUAUUUAUGAAUAUUGAAACAACUCCUUUUGUUGCUGCCAUCAAACACAAUAUAAUCACUUAUACGUUAGGCCUCUUUAAAAAGGCAAGAGGAAGGCUCAAAAGGACAUAUAUAGAGGUAAGUAAAAAAGAUGUGAAAACUUUUGGUCUUACCAAGAGUAUGGCAUAAAAUUAGAGGAAGAAGAUUCCUGUAGCUGAUCUCAAAUAAUUGGUAUAAAGCUUAGAUGAUUAUAAUGAUGUUACUGUAGGACCAUUGGCUUAUGAUACAAGAAGGUCACAUUCAUUCGUAACCAUCGAAUAUGGAAUCCAAUGGCUUGGGGAUGUGUCACAAAGCUCGAUAAACUUUUUAGUGGACUUCGAGCUUGGUCAAUAACAUACCCUCAACCACGAUUUUACAUCGCAUAAGUGGUUGUGACCUCCUUGCGUAAAUAAACGGUCUUAUCAUAUACUUUCCCUUUUCUUUAUCAUGUCCAUAGAGGUAUGGGUUUCAAAAUUCUAAUAAAAUAAGGAAAUGCUAGUAUUUUAAACUUUUAAAAGAAAAAAGAAAUAGAUGAUAUGAGAUAAACUUCUAUGCACUUAGCACUCACCUGCGAGUCUGUUGGCCUCUUCUUCUGUAAGCAUUGCAGAAAAGCCAUUGAAACUCUUUGUGUAUCUAUAUCUAAUGGAUGCCUUGGCUUCUUCAUGGCUGCUCCACAUUGUAAAAAUAGGAAUAAUAAAUCCACAAAUUUGUGGGAGAGAAUUUUACUUGAACACAUAAGCUAAAUUAGUGAUUCGAAAAUCAGAAUAGGCCUCGGACCCAGUAGGGUCCAAUUCUAAUCCCUGGAGCUUGAGUUGGGCAAUUUCCAAACCCCACCAAAUUAUAUUUAAACAAAAAAUAUUUAAAAAAUAGAAAAUUGGGAUACCCAAAUGAUUUUGGGGUUUUCAGCCUAAAAUGGCCAUCCUCCCAUCUUAAUUGGACUUUGGCAAUAUUAGAGGUGGCAAUGGACCCGGAUCCAACCUGGGAUCCUAGCGGUAGACCCAAUCCCGGUCAAAAAAUUGUACCCGUCAGGUCAGGCCGGAUCCAAUUUUGAUCUGUCGAGUCCAAUUUUUGGACUUGAACACUAUUUGGGUCUGCGUCCGAUAAUGUUUCUUGGGUCCUAAAAUUUGAAGUAGAUUUAAAUAUAGUAAAAUACAUAGCUAUUUUAAUUUUUAUGUCAGGUCUUAUCAAGUCUGGGUCCGAUGAAUCCGGGUCCAAACCCAACCUGACCCGCUGUCACCCCUGUGCAAUUUUGAAUCAUUGGUCUGAGUAUGCAAAUGUAGGGGAAUUCUUUCUUUACCUUCCCUUAAUAGAUGCCAAAGUAUCAUGGUGUAUGUCCAGUAUGCUUGUGGAAUCAUCAAGUUGAGGCACAUCUCCCAUGUAGAUGAUGUAAUGCUGUAACAAUUGCCAGACAACAAUUAUGGUAUUCUCAACUAUGUCAUCUAAUUUUAAUUCUUUUUGGGUGUGGUUUACAUAAGUUUGCAACCUUAAAUAAUGACGCAUCUCCAAAUUUUAUCAUCAGGGGUGAUUUGAUUUUGGUAUCAAAGUUUCUUAGGAUGUCUUAGAAUCUAUUUAUAUCUCUUGUUAUAAAAUUUUAAACUUCAAAAAGUGUUCAAAUCAAGUAGAUCUAUAAAUAAAUACAUGAAAAUAUUGAAAAUGGACACUCUAGAUAAUGUGUUGCAAGAUACACUAUUUUGGGGGCUCUUAAUCUUUUCUUUUCUUUUCUAUUCACUUCUAGGUAUCUGGAUGUGGAGAUGAUCAAUUAGAAUGUUUUCCAACAUUAAAACAAUCUUUUUCGAUGGAUUUUUUGAGUUCUCCUAAAUUCUACAAUUUAAGGUUGCAGCCUUAUACAAACGUUUUCGAGGCUGCAACCAUUUCCCUUUUCUUCUCAUACUUUGUCGCACACCACCAGCCAACAAGCAAGUAGUUGAAACCUUAUAGUGCCACAAAAAAUGGUCUUAAAGUGUACGAUCUCAAUAUAGCCACAGGAUUUCCUACUCCUACGGGUGUAUACUAUCUAUUUACUACCUCAGGCAAAAUAUAUACAAUCUUUACCACCCAUAGACUAAUCUCAGAAAAAUUAAGUAGAUAAAAAUCUAUGUACUGGAAAAAAACUAGUGCCUUAAGAUUCAAUAGAGACUGCCCAUUCUUUCAAGGGCUAGAUCUAAGUCUUACAAAAUUGAAAAUUCAAGUUUUUUUCUUAUAUUCUUUGCGAAAUUUUAGGCCAAACAAAUCUUCCUAAGUAGGUUUUUUGAGUGAGUGAGUAGAUGAACAAUAUGGUCCUGCGAGAGCACAGUAUAUGCGUGCGUGCCUCGAUAAAUGAAGUACAUCAAAGACAUCGUGCAUGAGAUGUGAAAGAUCCCAACAGGCAUAGAUAGAAAAAGGAAAUUAAUGGAUGUAGAAAGCAUUGUUUACAAAGAGACCAGACCAUUAAUCUAUUGUAUAUGGAGGUCAUAAUCAUUUUCAUUAAAAUUUUAUUUUUGAAACUUUGAGUUUAUUCAAUGACCCUCUUAUAACCGCCCAUUUGAAAUUUAAGGGACAAAUAUGAUUGACCCUCUUAUAACCGCCCAUUUGAAAUUUAAGGGACAAAUAUGAUUGUCUUCUAUAUACAAAAGAUAAUUGAUCUCUUUGUAGACAAUCCCUCUUUUCUAUAGAUGAUUUUAUCUUAGUCCGCCUAUGUACAAAUUUUUAAGCUCUGUUUGACAAAACAGAAUCUCAACAUUCAUAUUUUUAAAAAUUUGGAUAAUGCAUUGACGACUUUUUAUAUAUGACUUGAUAUAUAACGUUUUAACCUACCUGCAUUUUAUAAUUUUCUACAAUAUGAAAUAUUUGACUACUGGAGCAAGCCGGCUAGAAUUUGGCCCAAAGUACACCUCAAAUUCCUAAAACAUAAUGGAGAAGUAUUCUAUUCAUAAAGUAAACAAACCCCACUCUAAACCCAAUUUGGAAAACCCAAAAAAAAUUUGUUCCAACAGGGUCUUUUAACAACUAGAUCAUCCUUUGUGUUGCUUGCUUCUCGUGUUAAGCCCAACGAAAAAGGUUGCAGACAUGGAUACUUAUUGUGUGAGUAAAGAAAGUGCUGGAAUCAGGGUGAAUAUUCUUUAAUGGUGAAAUUACGGGUUCCUGUUACUUUCGAUCAUUAAUAGCAGCAUAAAAAAAAUCCCAUUAGAGCUACGUCUCUGAGCCAAGAGACGAGCAGAGCUCUAUGCUGAAGAGAUUUUGCAAUUUCGCGAUUUUCAUCUGCAAUUUUGAUCUCUUUCUCUAUCUCUGCCACCAAACUUGAUCCCUCUCUAAAACUCUUUCUCUCGCUAUCUUCCUCUUUUGUCUCUUUAAAACUCUUUCUCCCUCCUACCAUUUUCUGGCAAUCGGAAAAUGCGUCCAAUUUGCUAGAAAAGCGACCCACCUUGUGGGAGAGUGUAUCUAAAUUGCCUGAAAACUGACCAAAACUUGCUGGAAAAUGGACCCUCACUGCGUGAAGUUUCAGGCUACUUGUUGGAAAACUACCCAACUAGCCGGAAAAGUCAUCCACUUCCCCCCGGAAAUGGAUUUGCUGACGACAGAGGGAGAGAGAGAGAGCAAAUUUCAUCCCGUCAAGUGACCGAAAAUAGAAUGCCGCGUGAUACAAUUUUUAGUAUCACGAGACUUUCAAGUCGGAGCUGUAUUUCUUGGGGAUUGAGAUAUUAAGCAGUUAUUAAGAUAUAUUAUAUUAUGAUUUGAUCUUAUCAAACAUGUUCCACUAUCUUAGGAUUACAUCCGAUAUUUUAUAAUAUCCAGAAAUAUCAUCAUAUUAGUGUGUUAUCAAACUGAUCCGGAUCCUUAGGGCGGUUUGGAUACAUGAAAAUAUAUUUUCUGUCAGGCCUAAUACAUUAUUUGCAAAUGGAUUGUUACUAUUUGAGUAGUAUUUAGAUACAACUUGAAAAAUAAUUGCUAUUAUUUUGUUUAGAAAAUAAUUACUAUUGUUUUGUUUGGGUAGUAUUUAGAUACAACUUGAUAAAUAAUUGCUAUUAUUUUGUUUGGGAAGUAAUUGCUUGCUAUGUCUAGAAGGCAUAUGGGAAAUGCAUUAUCAAUAUUUUACCGCACUUGCUUAUAAAUUAUCAUUUUUUUUUUUUUGUCACAAAAUUCCAUUGAAAUGCGAAAUUGAAGUUAUGGUCGUACCAUUUCAAAAAGAUUUUCUAAUAAUAACAUCAUCACCGUUCCAAAAAGAAUUUUUAAUAAAUACUUGUAUGCAUCAUCACAACAUUUCCUAUUUAUUUCUAAAGUCAUCAAAACGCCAUUUCCUAUUUAUGUUGCAUGCCUUUGACAUUUGCAUGGAAUUACAUGUUUUCUAACAAGAUUAGAUUUUGGUUUCAACAUGUUAAAUCAUUGGAAUAAUAUGAUUGGAAUAACAUAUUUUUAUUGUGAUAAACCUUAUUUUUAUUUAUGUUUUAUAGAAGUCUUUCAAAUGUCUUUAUAAAAUCCUUAUGGUACAAGUUAAAAAAUCGGAAGAAGUUUGAUUAGAAAACUAGAAGGGAGACUAAAAAGUAAGGCUUAUCCACCAUGGAUUUUUUUUAAGCAGGGAUAGGUAACAUAGAGAUGCGUUAAAGAUUUCCCAAAAAUUAUCGUGAAGCACCUAAUAGAUAUUUCACAGUGUAAUCGAAUCGAUUUAGUAAUUUUUGAGAAAUCUCGAACAAUAUCUUUUCAUUAUACCCAAACAGUCUAAAAAAACUCUGCUUUCAAAGAUUACCGUAAAACGCGUAAUAGAUUUUUUACAGCAUAAUGGGUUUCGAAAUUUAUAGCGUAAUUGGUUUAGUAAUUUUUGAGAAAUCUUGAGUAAUUUCAAAUAAUCUCUUUCCAUUAUACAAGGACAAUUGAAAAAACUCAGCAGAGUUUUGGAACAAUGGUAUAGACGUACCCAAUUUUGUAUUUCGUCUUGGCAAUAUCAAAGAAAUACCUACCAUUGCUGAGCUGCUUCUUUUCCGCUAUGUAAUUUUUUUAUUUUUAUUUUUAAAUAUUAACUCGGGACCUCUAGAAGAACAGAUAUUUAAACUCGGGACCUCUAGAAGAACAGAUAUUUAAACUUACCUUCAUCUCUUCACCAUUAACAAAGAUGAACCCCAAGGUGAAGCACAGAAGAAGAAGUACUUUGAAGGCGAGGCCAUGAUCUUUAGCUUGAAGAAAUCCUUGUAAUUUGAAGGCGAGGCCAUGAUGGUUAGCUUGAAGAAAUCCUUCAAGGGCCAUGGUGAUUGUUCCACCAAAACUCUCAGCAAGUGGAACCACAAACCUAGGGUUGACUCCAUCCUUUUCUUAUAGCCAAGGGAACCUCUUCUCCAACCUGGUAUCUAAUUUAAUUUAGCUGAGAUAGAGGACAACUAUUUAUGGAAAAAAUUCAGUUUUUUCUAGUUCACAAGGUGUGUUCUUGUUCACCCAUUUAAAAUUUCCUAAAGUCGUGCAUUUAGAGCCACAGAAAAUUAACAUCAACCGGUUGGAUGUGGGCUGGAGGUUUUAGGUUAUUGGCAAAAGGAAUCCUUUUAAGAUGAAACGAUGGAGGUUUUUAAGUUUGUUGCCUUUUAAGAUGAAACGAUCAGUAUGGGUUUAAGGCUCCAUCUUUGAAUUUUAAAAGAACCCAUGUACCUGAACCGGAAAGAAUAAAAUUUUAAUACAGAUAAAAGGGGUAUUUUUGUCUUCGUUUGUCUUUUUGUUUAUUAUUACUAUUAUUAUUUAUGAGAUUUUAUAUAUGAAUAAAUAGUACAACAAGGUUAUACCAAAAAAGAGGUUUUUUAGCUAAGGUCAGCGAUCAUCAACCAUUGUUGGUGGGCACCCCCUUUAUCGAGUGAAUCUGCCUCCAUAUUACUUGAUCAAAUGUUAUCAAUCUUCCAUAUCUAUAUCUAUGAAUCUUCAGCCCCUCAACUGCCAUUGUCAAUAUAUUGGAUUUUAAGAUAGUAACUGCAAAAUGAAGUACCUUUGAAAAUCUUUCUAUUCCUCUCCUUCCAAACAUUCCAUACAAUGCUUGCCCACAAAGAUCUCCAAAAUAAAGUACCGAGCUUACGGAGACCUGGUGAACUCCAUUGUAGCGGAAGAGCACCCAAACUCGAGUCGAGGUGAAUAAAUAAAUUCAGCAAUUGCCUACUCCAAUUCCAUACCUUCAAGAUCUUUUGUCAUCUUCAUGGAUUUGAAAGAGGAAAUUAUAAAGAAGCCCCCGAAAAUUGGAGUGCGAUGGACCCAAGACUCACACAGAAGGUAGCAAAUAGCUGAAAAACUUUCAACCUAAAAAUUGUGUCAUUGAAACAUCAUUUGCCCAUGUUUACUGACGAUUUGGUGAUGUUGCAUAUGCUACUGUAAGAAUAAACAGUCACCAAAAAUAUUGGGUCCAAAUUCUGCAACACAACUCAUUUUUCAUCCAAUUUCUAGCUUCGAUUUCUCACAGAUCUUACAGUGGCUUCAGCCGAAAUUCGACGUAGUCGUUCUCCUUGACAAGAUCGUCUGUCAAACUUCAGAUUUUCUUUUUUUGAAUAUAAUCAUCCGGAGGGAUAAAUCUACCGUAUGCUCCUAUGAGAACAUGGUAUACGCACUCUCAUUAAAUUCUAAAGUGGAUAGCGUUUUAAUGAAUAAUGGAAACCAAGGCAUCAGAUUGCCUUCUUUGCAAGGACAAAUAACAAAUAAAAUAAAGAAAAAAUGUAUUGAGGGACCAAAAACAAAUUUUAGAAUUAAAAGAUAGUCUAUAUUUUGGGAGAUUUUACUUUGAGCUUCAAAAAUUUUUGUGGCUUUCUUAGUGCUCCUUCGACUCCUCGUUCAAAAGCCCAACUUUUUGUUUUGUAAAAAACAAAAAAAAUUACAAAUUACAUAAGCCUGCUACCUAAAACAUCCUGGACCCCCUACUAAAAUUUCUUCUCACCAAAUACUCCCUUGUUGUUUUCCUUUGCAUCGACCCCAAGUUAAUAUCCUAUGUGUAGGAUAUUUCAGGUAGUGAGAUUUAUGUAAUAUUUCUAAAAAAACAAAAGAAAACAAAAAGAAAAAAAUAAAAAAAACAUGAAAGACUUCAUGUUUCUUCAUAAACAGAGGAACGCAAAAGAGAAGGAGAUUCCACAAAUGUAGUUAUAUGAGCUAAGGACAAUCAGCAGAUCCCAUGGAGGUUCUCCGUAAAAAAAUAAGCAGAUCCCAUGGAGGUUCAUCCCAUCUCUGAUCCAUUACUCGAUGAAUGAAGAAGUCACGAGUUACAUUUCAACAAAAAAAAACGAAUAUCAAAGAGAAAUAGAUUUUCACUAUUUUACGCAAUCUUAAAAUCCUAAAUCCAAAGACUCGUUAAUUUGAAAAUUUAUAUUUAAAAUGAAUAUCGGGUUCAUGGGAUCUUGGACUUAAAUGAAGUUCGUUUUAUUUCAGCAAUUAAUGAAAGAUUCAAUUAGUGAAAAAACAUAUAUGACUGUACUGAUUACAAGAAAAGAUGGCCGAUCAACAAUUCAAGUGACACAAUCCCAUAAUCCAUCUUUUCUUACUAGGAUCUGCUUCAACUAUUCGACCCAAGUUCCUAUAAACUUGCUCUGUAUUAUUGCAUUCAAUCACCAGCAUACGCUCUUUUCAUAAAAGGCUAUGAUUUUAUACAAUGGUUGCAUCAUAAUAUAAUGCAAUGGUUUUUUAGACGUAUGGUUACAUUAUACUAUGAUACAACCGUUGCAUGAGAGAGACUUCCAACAACCCUAAUACGAGAGGGUUAACAAACAACAAUGAUUUCUUGCAAUCGUUGUAUAGUAAUAUGAUAGAAUAACUUUAAAAAACCAUCUUAUGGCCAUUUGUUUGAUUCAAAUUUUGAAAUCUACACUUUUUUUAUUCUAAUGAACUAUUACAAAAAAAAAAAUGAAAACACAAUCUAGAAAGUAUUUUUUUAGCCCAAUUAACAUAGGCCGUUUAUUUUGGUGAGAUGCUUAGNNNNNNNNNNNNNNNNNNNNGAUGAACAAUGUUAAAAAAUAAAAACAUGAUUUUGAGUUUAUAAAUGUAAGAUAUUGAAAUUCACAAAAUGUAUGGUCUAGAUUCAUUUUUGGAGGGGACUCAUUUUGACUAUAUCUAUGGUUGAAAUUGAACUUUUUUUUUUUUUGGGAGGAUUGAUUAUUGAGAUGAAGAGAGUGUGCAUACAAAAUUUAUGAUUAUACAAAUAUCACAAACAUGGUUUUCUAGAAGUGUCGUUGCAUUAUACUAUAAUACAACUGUUGCAUUGGAUAAUUGCUCAUUAACAAAUACUAAUACAUCCCAAAAAUAUCCUCUAACCCCAUGAGAGAGAAUAUAAGAAGUAUUCCAUGUACAUAUAAAGUUUAUAAACUAUUGAGGGGCCUUUCUACUCUUUUCAAAUCUUUUAGGGCCCGUUUGAAUCCUUGAAUUUUUCAAUCCUGAAAAAGUCAAUCCUAAAAUUGAGAUUUAUUGGAAUUGACACUUCCAGGAAUCUGGUGUAUCCUGUUUGCAUCGCAUCUGAGAGAAAUUAAUAAAAUGCAAAUUCCUUGUUUGGAUUGCCUUCAAUAUCUUUUUUUUGGAAACGCAAAUCCUUUCUCUCUCUCUCUAAAAAUUUCGAGAUAGUUUAUCUCUCUAAAAUUUUAAUGCUCUCUUUCAAAAACUUAAAAUUUGAAAUAGUCUCUCGCUAAAAAAAUUGAGAUAGUUUCUCUCUCUAAAUAUUUAUAUAUAUCCUCUCUCUAAAAUUUGAUAUAGUUUUUCUCUCUAAAAUUUUGAAAUACUUUCUCUCUCAAAAACUUAAAAUUUGAAAUAGCUUCUGUCUUUAAAAAUUUUGAGAUAGUUUCUCUCUGUAAACAAUUUUAGAUAGUUUCUCUGUCUAAAAUAUGAUAAGUUCCUCUCUCUAAAAUUUUAAUGUACUUUCUUUAUCUAAAACUUAAAAUUUGAGAUAGUUUCUUUCUAAAAAUAUUAAGAUAAAAUUAAAAUAGUUUCUCUCUCGAAAAAAUUUUAGGUACUUUCUCACUCUAAAAUCUGACAUAGUUACUCUCUCUAAAAUUUUAAGAUGUUUUCUCACCCUAAAACUUAAAUUUUGAGAUAGUUUAUCUCUCUAAAAUUUUAAUAUAUUUUCUCUCAAUAAAACAUAAAUUUUCAUAUAGUUUCUCUAUCUAAUUUUUUUUAAAUAGUUUCUCCCUCUAAAAAUUUUAGGCACUUUCUCUAUCUAAAUUUUGAUAUAGUUUAUCUAUCUAAGGGUUUAAGAUAUUUUAUCUCUCUAAAAUUUAAAAUUUGAGAUAGUUUUUGUUUCUAAAAAUUUUUAGGUGGUUUCUCUAUCUAAAAUUUGAUAUAAUUUCUAAUCUCUAAAAUUUUAAUAUGCUUUCCCUCUAAAACUUAAAAUUUGAGAUAAUUUCUCUCUUUAAAUGUCUUGUGGUACUUCUCUCUAAAAAAAUUUACGGAAUUCCUCUCUAAAAUUUAAUGUAGUUUCUCUCUCUAAAAUUUUAAGAUACACUCUCCUUAAAACCAAAGAUUUGAUAUAGUUUUUCUCUCUAAAACUGUAAAUUUGGUAUAGUUUCUCUCUCUAAAAAUUUGAGAUAAUAUCUCUCUAAAAAAUUCGCAUAUAUUAUCUCUCUAAAAAAAUUUUUAUGCUUUCUCUCUCUAAAAUUUGAUAUAAUUUUCCUCUCUAAAAUUUUAAUAUGUUUUUCCUUUUUAAAAUUUGAAAUAGUUUUCUUCUAUAGAAAUUUAAUACCAUUUUGUUCUUCAACAACAAAAAUGGGUCAUUUCCAAGAAAUGUCAAUUCCACCUAUUUUGGUCGAAUUGAGAUUUUCAAAAUUUAAGUCUAAAAUGAGCAUUCAGGAAUCCUACGAAAAUCUCAAUUCCAAUGGAAAUAUCAAUUCUAAGCGAACCAAACACGAUCAACCCAAAUUUUCUAAGAAAAAUGACUCAGAGGAAAUAUGAAUCCAGGGGACCAAACGGCCCUUAGGAACUUAAUCUCUAUCUUAAGAUCGCUUCAAAAUACUUGGAGCAUUUAAGGAACACUUUCAUAAUAAUAAUGCUAAAACGUUUUCUAUUCCUAUGGGAGUAUACUAGCCGUUUACUUCCUUCAGAAAAACUUAAGCUUGGAAUAUAUUUGUGAUCUCGAAGUUUGGGGAUGUCAUCUUUAGAACCCAUGAACUAAUCUCGAUGAAUUUUUUUUUAAAAUCUCACUCUCUAUAUGGCUAAACAAAAUGGCAUCCCAAGAUUGUAUUGGAACCAUCCAAUUUUUAGGGGGAAUAAUCUCGAUAUUCAAGAGCUCAGUCCAAUUUUCACUUUGAAAAAUUUCUGAGUCAAAAAAAAUUCUCCCAAGUGUUUUGCCCAAGGGAGAAAGUAUACAGUAUGAUCCCGAGGGAGCAUAGUAUACACACUCUUAAAUAAAAAUGUGCUUCACACAAAACAUACUAAAAGAUCAUUUACACAUUUUUCAAACACCCAAAAUGCCUUUUUAUUUUCAAAAUCAAACUUUUUUGUUUUUUGAAUCAUAAUAGAAAAUCAUGAUGGGCCAUGUUAACAGGCAGUCCAAAGUUUAUUUAUUUGAGUAAGAUUCAUUUAACUGAUACAGCCCCCAACCAUCUCAAUAGUUACAGAGAAUUUGAAAAUAACUGAAAAGAGAUCUUUUUAUUUUUAAGCACAUUGUAUCGUUCUAACACAAUAUUUACCCAUACUGGUAAUUAUCAGUAGAUACAAGGCCCUUUAAGAAAAUUUGCCUUCAGGAUAUUUUUAAAUAAAAGAUCGAAUACUUAUGUUGCUUAUUCAAUACACAUAGUAAUGUACAUAACAAUAUUUCAACACACCAAGAGUCUCAACACGGCAAGAGUUGCCUUUCUUUAGAAAGAGAAAAUCAGUAAAAAUAGUAGUGUGUAGACAUCUUUUUAUAAAAGUGGGAUCUUAAUUAGGGCAAAUCUAGAUCCGAAUAGUAUUCGAAUCCAAAAUUUGGACCAUAUGCUUACAUGUGGGUUCCCAUAUCUACCCGUCAAGUCCCAGGUGUGGUCAGAUUCAUUGCCACCCUAUCACUAUGAGCUUUUUUUUUUUUCGCAUUCUUUUUACCAUCAUAUAUCAUAUGAUUAUGAACUUCUUUUUUUUUUCAAUAAUGUUGUAAAUGUUGCCAAUAUUGUGACUAUAUAAACACUUAGCAUGAGUUGAAAGACACAUGGUUGCCAUUAUGUACUUUAUGAUUGUAAGUACGGGUUAAGUCAGGUUGGAUUAGGAUUCAGACCCGAAUAGUAUUUGGGUUUAAAAUUUGAACCCAUAUACUUGUUGGGUCCUGAGUCUAAUCGGGACCAAUGCCACCCCUAAUCUCAAUCCAAUUUAAGAGAGAGAGAGUACAUCUUUUCAAGUAAUGGAUUGUAACCAGUGUUUUAAAAAACGUCCAGUCGAACCGGACUCGCCCGGUUCGACUCGAAAAUCGUAAAAAGGGGACCGAAUCGCCUAAAAAAUCGGAAAUCGUUCGGUUCUAGAGAGAACCGGACCAUUCUGUACAGUGAAUCGCCGAUUCACUGUACGGAAUCGGCGAGUCCGAACAGUGAAUCGGCGAGUCCCGUACGGAUUUUUUUUUUUGUUGUAAUCCAUGAUAGAUGUUUUUGUAAUACUUGAUCGAUUUUUUUGUAAUCCAUGAUCGAAUUGUUUUUGUUUUUUUGUAAUUCAUGAUCGAAUUUUUUGGUUUUUUGUAACCCAUAAUNNNNNNNNNNNNNNNNNNNNNNNNNNNNNNNNNNNNNNNNNNNNNNNNNNNNNNNNNNNNNNNNNNNNNNNNNNNNNNNNNNNNNNNNNNNNNNNNNNNNNNNNNNNNNNNNNNNNNNNNNNNNNNNNNNNNNNNNNNNNNNNNNNNNNNNNNNNNNNNNNNNNNNNNNNNNNNNNNNNNNNNNNNNNNNNNNNNNNNNNNNNNNNNNNNNNNNNNNNNNNNNNNNNNNNNNNNNNNNNNNNNNNNNNNNNNNNNNNNNNNNNNNNNNNNNNNNNNNNNNNNNNNNNNNNNNNNNNNNNNNNNNNNNNNNNNNNNNNNNNNNNNNNNNNNNNNNNNNNNNNNNNNNNNNNNNNNNNNNNNNNNNNNNNNNNNNNNNNNNNNNNNNNNNNNNNNNNNNNNNNNNNNNNNNNNNNNNNNNNNNNNNNNNNNNNNNNNNNNNNNNNNNNNNNNNNNNNNNNNNNNNNNNNNNNNNNNNNNNNNNNNNNNNNNNNNNNNNNNNNNNNNNNNNNNNNNNNNNNNNNNNNNNNNNNNNNNNNNNNNNNNNNNNNNNNNNNNNNNNNNNNNNNNNNNNNNNNNNNNNNNNNNNNNNNNNNNNNNNNNNNNNNNNNNNNNNNNNNNNNNNNNNNNNNNNNNNNNNNNNNNNNNNNNNNNNNNNNNNNNNNNNNNNNNNNNNNNNNNNNNNNNNNNNNNNNNNNNNNNNNNNNNNNNNNNNNNNNNNNNNNNNNNNNNNNNNNNNNNNNNNNNNNNNNNNNNNNNNNNNNNNNNNNNNNNNNNNNNNNNNNNNNNNNNNNNNNNNNNNNNNNNNNNNNNNNNNNNNNNNNNNNNNNNNNNNNNNNNNNNNNNNNNNNNNNNNNNNNNNNNNNNNNNNNNNNNNNNNNNNNNNNNNNNNNNNNNNNNNNNNNNNNNNNNNNNNNNNNNNNNNNNNNNNNNNNNNNNNNNNNNNNNNNNNNNNNNNNNNNNNNNNNNNNNNNNNNNNNNNNNNNNNNNNNNNNNNNNNNNNNNNNNNNNNNNNNNNNNNNNNNNNNNNNNNNNNNNNNNNNNNNNNNNNNNNNNNNNNNNNNNNNNNNNNNNGAUCCUGAUCGGUUUUUUGGAAGCCCAAUCCGGGUCACCGAUCCGUUUUUUAAACCAUUGAUUGUAACCGUUCGAUGCCUUUGUAUUGUUGUUUUCAUGUGUUUUUGACUUUUGCACAUCAUGCCUCUUUAUGCUUAUGUUUGAGUACUAUGUUCAUAUAGGGAAAAUUGCAGCGACACGACGCGCUACUCUACCAAACCCAAUCAUGACGCGACAUAUGCAGGACCAGCAAUGGGCCGUUUGGCCCGGCUCGAUCAGCCCAACCACCUAGUGGUACAUAAAAAUGAGGGCAUACCGCGCAGUGCAUAGUGGUUUGGGGCAUGAUGAGUGUUUGCAAACUUGGCUGGUUCAACUUGGAACUGGAUGGUUAUAUAGGAACUAGGUAUUGGUUAUUUCAAUUUUGGCCGGUUUUGGUGAUCUGGUCAGGUAUUUUUAAAAAAUUUAAAAAAAUUAUAUAAAAUUUCAAAAGAUAGGGGAUUUGUUUGUAAUGUGUUUGUGAAUGUUUUUAUCAAUUUGGCAAAUAUUGAUAAGUGUUUUGAUCAUGAAUACUUAUUUUUAUAUCUCCCCUUUGUUUUUAAAAUUUUUUAAAAAUACUUCUAAGCACAAAUUGAUUUUUGAAAAUCUAUUUUUUAUUAAUUUUCAGCUUCAUGUGAAUGUGCUUUAUUUAAUUAUGCUUUAAACAAAAUAUUCAUUUUUUUUAGGUUUUUCUAUAUUUUUUAUUUUUUAAUGUUUUUUACCGGCCGAGGCUUGCCUAAUUAGGCAUGGUUUAUAUGCAAUGAGAAUGCAGUUGUCAUAUGCAAGCUCUAAUGAGAAUUGAAAUGCAUAAUGUGGUUUAUUUUUUAAUGUGAAUUGAAAUGCAUUAUAAUCAAUUGACACUCCCGAUCAAAAUUUAAUGCAACAACAUUUUCCAAAGUGAAAGACAGAAGAUCUUCAAGCUAUAAGAGAGAGAAAUGUGUGCUCGCCACUUGAUUUUCUUUCUCCACUUAUUUCUUCUGAAAUAAUUAGGAUUUUGCAUGAAAGAAAUGUAUCAUAAAUUUUAAAUCUUUUGUAAUAUUCCUACUUAUUAAUAAAAAAUAGAUAGAGCCUAAAUCCCCACAAAUUUAUCAAAAAAAAAAAAAAAAAAAAAAAAAAAAAAAAAGGAAAAAAGAACUAGAGAGAGAUCUUGUAAGAGAGGGGGAGAGACGUUUAGCUCCUUGGGGUUUCUUGCCCUAUCGAAAAGCCAAAGGUAAGCUCGAAUAUGACCAAGCAUAUCCCCAUAGGAGAAUAUAACUCUCAAGAACUUACGACACGUGCAAGACACGUAUGUCGACAAAAGGAUUAUCUUAUCGUAUGGACGCCUGAGAUUUGAGAAGGCACAGCUGUUCAUUGAAAUCAUGACCGUUGAUUGAUGUCAUGGAUGGAGAAUCGCAUUUUUGGGGUGAAAGUGACAGUGGCUUGGGAGCAGCAAAAGCAGCUUGGAUAUCCGAAAGUAUAACCCUAGCAUAUGCCAGCAAGCGAAAUUACCAUAUCAACCUUCGUUUAUAUCGUCAAUGCCCUUGAAUUUCUCGAAUAUCAAGCAUGGUCUCUAACAAAUUAACACUAAAAAAACAAAAAACUGGCCCAUUGUCCCUAGGCAAAACACCAGCCUUAAACCCUUGAGAUUGGUCCAAAGCUAGAGACCGUUCUUCUCAACUAGAUUCACUAUUAAAAUUUAAAGUUUUUUUCACUUGAUUUCCAAAAAAAAAUGAUUAUCAAAUGAAAAUUUUAGUUGAUUUUUAUGUUCUAAUUAAAAUCGAAGUCUAAGUUCCUGUUUGGUAGUCAUAUCUCAAACAUUACUUGUACGUGUCGUUAUGGCAAAUCUCUUUUUUUUAUUGUUUAUUUGUAGAUCAAUGGGGAAUACAGGCCCAUGUGUUUUUUUAAGAAAUUAUAAGUGGUUUUCAAAUACAUAAGUGGGAAUCGAAAUCUAGACCGUAGCUGAGGCUCAGGUGGUGGUACCACAAUGACUUCAACCCCAUUUUGGAAGAAUUUUUAAUAAUUAUAUUCAAUUUGAUCAAUUUCCAAACUUUUGGGGAGAGAAGAAACUAGAUAUUUUUCUUUUAAUCAUGAGGUUAACCCUGUGUUUGGCUGCAAAUGAAAAUGAAUCUGCACCUUUUCUUCAAAUGUCGAUGGUCAUCUACUGGAUCUUCACACAUCGUAUUAAAAUUAUUACAGGGUUUAAUUUCGUGAUGAUGCUGUAAUUUUUUAUCUCAAACUACCAUCUACAUCGCUGUUGAAUAAUUAUACCUCUCUCUUCUAUAACCAGCUCCACCUCUGCCACCACCUUCACUAACAAGUAGAUUUCUUUCUCUUAUCUUCAUAUAAGAUUGAAUUGGAGAUGGAUGAGUGGCAAGACAAAAAGGGAUAAAAUUUAAAAUGUAUACAUUCAAAAAAAUUUAAGUAUGGCACCAAUUGAUGAUAAGAUGUGAGAGAGUAGACUUAGGUAGGUUCGUUAUGUGUGGUGCAGACCCAAUAAUAUAUCUAUUAAGAGUUGUGAGUUAGUUUAAGUGGAAGGCUCAAAAAGUACAAGGGAUAAAUGCCGAAAGACAGUUGGAAAUAGAAAGAAAAAAUAUGGAGAAUUAUGGCCUCAUUGAAGGUAUGACCCUUAAUAGAGCAGAGUGAGGGAUCAGGAAUUGUGUAGCCAACAUCAAUUAGUUGGGAAAAAGCUUUGACGACGAUAAUGAUUGUUUUUCUUGAGUUUUUUUUGGAUAAGUAAAAAAAAAAAAAAAACUCAAGAAAUAAAAUCCUACUCAUCAGUAGAACAAUCAUCGUCGUCGUCAAAGCUACUUUAUGAAUAAUGACGUGCGAAGCUAACAUUCGGCCCCUAAGGUGCAAUUUUAAAGGAGUGUUACCUUUACCUCCAAAACAUACAUCCAAAAAGGGCCCCCCAAGAUAUUACCAAAAAAAACUAAAAGGACAGAUAUUUCAUGCAAGGCUAUAUAUGAUAUUUCAAAGAAAGCCAAUGCUGUUUUAACAAUGACUUCCUUUUAUAUACCUGAGCUUCACAUCGACUAGCCAAUAAGCACCAGUAGAGCGAGAAAGGAAGACAUCUCUCUACAUUCAACGAGAAGUUAGAGAGAGAAAGAGAGAGAGGGAGGUUUUGUUAGAGCAAAGGCAGUUGGAUUACUCUACUUUCUCUCUCUAGGUGGAGGUUGAAGUGCAUGAAGGCAAAGGGUUUAAUGGGCAAACCAGUUUCAGGGCUUCUCUCCAUUGGCAGACUUGCAAACAAAAUAAUUCAGACACUCACAUUCUACCUGCAUUGCCUGCCAAAGGAGAGUUGCCCUGUAACUGGCUUCUGUCCCAACGCUUCUCUCUCUCUCUGCCCCAUUGUUUCUCUCUCUAGAACUCUCUCUCUCUCUUUUCUUUUCGUUCCAACUUUUUCAAGGUAAGCAAUACUAAUGAUUGUUUAUUUAUUUCACAUAUUGUUUCUUUUUUUUUUAACAGACCCUGAACUCACUGCUUGGAUGUGCAGCAAGGUAUUUUUUUAUUAUAAAACGAGGAGAAAGAGGGAGAGAGUGGGAGUUUUCUUGGUGUAAGAGAUUACUUUUGAAUUUUUUAUUUAUGGAGAGAGAAAGAGUUGAUUUGAGAGAGACAGAAGGGAGAGUUUAUUUGAGAGAGUUUUCUUUGUCUAAGAGAUUAUUUUUGAAUUUUUUUAUUUAUGCAGAGAGAGAGAGAGAUUUUUAAGAGAUUAUGUCUAAAUUUCUUUGUUUAUGGUCUUUACGUAUCACAUUGAAGAUACAAAACCUAAAAUGGCUUGAACAUGGGCAAUGAAGCAGCCUUCCAAAAGAACUUAGGAGCUUGCAAAACGUAUCUAUGAAGCCUUAAAGAAGUACUUAUGUCAUGGAUGGAUGUUAUCUCAUGCUAAUUGAGCUAAAGAAUCGUUGUUGAUAAGUGAAUCGCUUGGUCUAUCCUAAAAUAUUUAAGAGAAGCUUAUCAAAUUACUGGUAAAAGAUUAAUGAUUUAACACUUUUCAAAAUACUUAUAAAAUAACAUAUAGUUUUGAGUAGGAAUAGUUGGAAAACUUUUAUCAGCAUCGUCAAAGCCUUUUUCCAAUUAAUUGAGGUCGGCUAUACGAAUCAUGAUCCACCAUUUUACUCUAUUAAAGGUCAUACCCUCAGUGAGACCAUAAAUCUUUAUAUAUUUUCUUACUACUUCUAACUAUGUCCUGUUGGAUCUCUCAAACUUGCUUUUUUUUAACCUUCCACUUGAACUGACUCACAUUUCCUAACAAGUAUUGUACUUGUCUACAUUGUACAUAGCUAUCAUACCUAAGUUUACUAUUUCUCAUCUUAUUGCCUAUUGGUGCAACGCCUAAAUUUUUUUGAAUAUAUACAUUUCGAAUUAUAUUCUUUCUUGUCUUGUCACUAAUCCCUCUCACCAUCUUCAUCUCCAUUACAAUCUUCAUAUGGGUAUAUUGAUUUUUUAUCGUCCAACAUUCCGCUCCAUAAAGCAAAGCUAGUCUCACAACUAUUAUAUAAAACUUGAUCUUCAACUUCUUUGAUAUGCAAUGAUCACAUAAAAUUCUGGUUGAAUAGUUUCAAAAGGCUAAAUUGUUAAAUAGCUUAUCUCUUGUGGGUAUUUUAAUAGAUUUCUCAAGAAUUAAUAAUGAAAACUUGGAAAUUGACAUGAUUUAGUGGGUUCUUGCGAUUUGAUUAUGAACUCAGCAACCUUGGCAAGGUAGAGUCUGACUUGCCGGCUUUUCAAACACUAGUCUUUAUUAAUAUAUAUGUAUUAUUACUAAUAUGCAUGAUGAUUUAUGAUGCUAAGGUCACAAUUGUGCAAUGUUGCCAGAUUCGUUUCAGGAUCUUCUUCGAUUUGAUGAGAAAAAUGAAUCAAUUCGAUACUUCGGACGAUUCAGGGAAAGACUUCAGAUUUUUUUUUGUUAUUUUAAUAUCAAUAGAUUAGAUAUUUAUAUAUAGAAUUAUAUAAAAAUAAUAAAAAAAUAAUUUUUUUCUAAAAAAAUACUUUUAUAUAUUAUAUCUUUGCUUGGGCCAAAGAGGCCGAAUCUUCAGCCCGAACCAGACCCAAAUCUAAUCGACGCGUCAAUACCAAUUUAUUAAAAUAAUGACAAUUUUAAAAUAAAAAUUUCAAAAAAAUAAAAAAAUAGAAAAUUAUGUUAUAUUGAUAUUUCUUUUUUUGGGCUGAAGACGUUGAAGCUUCAGCCGAACCUGCUCGAAGCAGACCCAAAUUUGACCGAAGUAGCAGCACCAAUCUUCACUUGGAUUCGGUCUACGCCUAAAAUCUAAAAGGCUUCCCGCCUCUUCGGCCAAAGUGAAGCGAAUUUGAUAACACUAUCAUUGUAAACUUAAUCCAUUGCAUCAUUUGGAGUAGAUGACAUUGGUGAUUAAUUAACGCAAAGAUAAUCAAAAUUUUAUCAUUCUAUGCGUGAAUGUGACUGUCCUAGUACAGGUCACAUUAUGAGAUCAGAGGGGACUUUCUGUGACAUUGCUACAAGCUAAGGAGAAACGUGUAUAUAGUAACGCGUGAAGGGCAUAAAUCGUGCUCCUGCCAGAGCAAACUAUACAUUUGUUCCAUUUCCGAAACACCUAUUUAAGGAGAUAUUUUUUGCUUCCUGAAAAUUUUCAUAUUAUCUUUUGAUUCACCUUGUGAACUAUUUCAAAAGACAAUAAAAGAUGAUUAUGCACUCUUGAAAAACAAGAUCUGUCCACUAAAUGGAUGGUCUAGAGUCAAUGUAGGUGCAGAUCUUCAAAGUAUUUUUGAGCUCCAGAUUAACUCUCUUGUUUUCUAGAUUGAUAUUAGAGAUGAAUAUACAUGACUUGGAAGUUUUUUGUUUUUUUUUUCUGUUUUUGAAAUCAGUUACUAUGAAGAUGACUUGGAAGUUUUGGGGUGAAACAAAUUCUCAUGGUGUUUCUAAAAACUUACACUUUUGCAAAUUAAACUUUCAAGAUGGAGAGAUUUUGAGGAGACAUUCUUGAUGAGGGUCUCAGCAUUUAUAACAAUAGUGCUAUUUUAUACUUGGAAUGUCAAGGGCUUGUUUGAAGCCACCUCUUCCACCAAUUUCAGAAGCUGCAGCUUCCAUGGGGUAGCAUGGAAGCUGUACUUCAUAAAUUUAUAUCAUGAUUUCCAAAACAAUGUAAUGCUUUUCAUUUAACAAAUACGGGAAGUGCAACAGAAGUGGAAGCUGAGACUUCUGCAAGCCACGGUUUCCACUAAUCAAACUCGCCCUAAAUUAACAUUCUGGUUUUGGAUUUGACUUUGGAUCUAUAAUAUGACUAUUUGGUCUUAUGUCCACAAUAUGAUUAUUUGGUCCUAAAAAAAAAAUAAAAUCAAGUGAGUCAUGUCAUGAUCCUUAUUAUUCAUUUAAGAUCCUUCUGUAAACAUUCCUAUCAGGUUGGUUUGGGUGCUUUCUUCCUCCUAACCCAGGAACUCCCUAUUAGCUUACAUGGGGUUGUCCAAUUGACCUUCUUGAAUCCCAUCGCUUUAAGUUUAUGAAGUGAUUAGAUGGUCCACACCGACCACAUACAUGGAUGGUCUAGCCCCCCGACCACAUGGUUAAGGUUUUUUUUUUUUUGUACGGUUAAUAUCGAAGGGGUUUGAAACCUCUUGUAAUAUUAAUCAAUUGGUCAAAAGAUAACAAAUUACACGUGGUAGUAUGCUUUUAAGUUUUUAUAUCAAUCAGGUACUUCCUAGACAAUAUGAAAAAUUCUCAAUUUACCCUCUUCACUGUUGGGAUGCCAAAUAUUUGGCAUUCUUUUAUUCCCAAACAAACUCCUUGGACGGGUAAUUUUCUUAAGUGGGGGAUGGGUUCAAUUGCUAGGUACCUGAAACCUCUUAGAAAUCUUAUGUGAGCAGAAUUCUCACACUUACCAGAAUGAGGUUGGGAUUGGGGUCGAGGUAGUACCAUUUGUAUCCCAUUUAAGGUCUAAGCUUCCAUUGUCACCUAACACAUUAAAAAAAAAAGGGUAGGGGCUCGUCAUCUCUACUGAAUUACCAAAAAAAAAGUAUCACAACAUUCAAGAAAUUUUAUUUUAGAUUUUGUAUCCAAUAAAUAGUUAAUCCCCAAUCGUCUGAUUUCACAUCCAAUAGUCAAUAAUGAUUGCGACCUCUUUGUAUAAAAAAAUAAAUAGUUUCUAUGAGACCAUUUAUUUUUGGUACAAUGAGGUCACAAUUUUUUCUUGUUAUUAGAAGUGUUACAAUAUUUAAAAAACUUUAUUUUGAACUUUGUGUCUAAUUAUGGCUAAUCCUCAACCACCGGAUUUUACAUCCAAUGGUCAAUAAUGAUGGUAUCUUUCAAUCAACGACACACGUGUUGGUAACCAUGUAAAACUAUCUCCGACUAUUCUCCAAUAACAACGUAAGGCCAUCACCUUCACCUUAUCCUUCCACACAAUGUUAACGAAACAAGGGGCAUAUUCUCACCACCUUCUCCUUCUCCAUCGUCAAAAUUUACUAAAUUUUUCUAUGUCGAGGUAGCACAAUAUUCCCAUGAUGGUCAAGAAUUAUAUACAAUGAUACAGCUUUGGGAAAGUCUCAGGGGUGGCAACGGGUCGGUCCCAGUCCAGCUCGAACAAGGACCCAGACCUGGGUGGACCCGGACAUGGUGUGGGACCUGGACCCAAGCUUAGACCUGAAUCUGAACCCGACCAAACCCAAAUGGAAAUGGUUCGGGUCCAAGAUAUGAAUCUAUACCCGAAUAGUGUUCAGGUCCACAUUUUGGACCCAAACCUAACCCAUUGGGUCCACGUUUUUUACCAAUAUCUAGACCCGGAUCGAGACUACCCCGCUGGUCUCAGGUCAGGUCUUGGUCCAUUGUCACCCCUAGAAAGUUUGUUGUCCACCCAUUGGGUCCACGUUUUUUACCGAUAUCUAGACCUGGAUCGAGACUACCCCUCAGGUCCCAGGUCAGGUCUUGGUCCAUUGCCACCCCUAGAAAGUUUGUUGUCCACUUCUUCCUAGAGUUCAGAUUAGAUAGGGCCAUAUCCCAAAGUUAAAAUCUAAUUUUAUUUUUAAAUUUUUAUUAAAUAUUAUAGUUAUGUGAAAUUUAGAGUGUAAAUUAUUUUUAUAUAGAGAAUCAAAUAAAUAAUAAUAAUAAAAUAUUUUGAAUAAAAAAUGUCAAAAUAAUAUUUUAUUGAAAACAUUUUUUAUCUUUAUUUAUUUCCCCUUAUAAAGUUAAUCUACAUCCUAAAUCUUAGAUAAAUAUAAUAAUAAAAAAAAAAACAAAGCUAUUUUGUAGCCCUUGGAUGUGGCUUAGUUCAAUUUGAACUAUUCCUUGACUUUUUCUUCACCCAAAUGUCAUAUACUCUUCCACUCAUAUUAUGUAAAACCAGAUGCUAGGGGCGGGGCGUGCAAGUUUUAUGUGAAAAUUCUUAAAUGAACUUUUUCAUCUGGGUGUGGUUUACAUAUGGUCGAGGCCCUAACAAUCAAAGUAAGGUGCACCUUCAAAUAGUGUCGAAAGAUGUUUUAAAAUUAGAAAUCUUUGUGAUGGCCAAAAAAAACUUAUUUUCACAUCUAAUUAUAAAAAUUAAAGCUUUAAAAAUAGUGUCCUUUGAGCAUAUCUAUGAGACUUAAAAACCUUGAAAAUUGAUUGUCCAAAAAACACAUUAUAAAAUGUACUAUUUUCAAGAAUUGAAAUCAAUUUUUUUCGCACGUCCAUAUAUCUUUAGGUCAAAAGGAUCGAUUUAAGGAUUUUGGGUAUCAAAACAACUUUUUCUAAUAAAUUUUUGAGGUUUGUAUGAGGUUGAGGCUUUAAAGUAAGGCUGACCCCUAAAUAGUGUGGAAAUAUGAUUUUUUAAGCAGAAACAAUCUUUGUGAUGGCCUAAAAUUGUAUUUUAUCUCUUAAUUAUAAAAUUUAAAGCUUAAAAAAUAGUGUGGAUCAAGUAGAUCUAUAAAAGCUUGAAAAUAUUGAACAUUAAUGGCUAAGAUAAUGCAUUACAAGAAGCAUUAUUUCCCAAACUUGAAAUCCUUUUUUUUUUCUACGUCUACACAUCUCGUGGUCGAGAUAAUCAAUUCGAGGGUUUUUUAAUGUCGAAAUAAUGAAUUUUUUAGGUACACUUUAAUUUGAUUGUUAAGGGCCUCAACUUUAUAUAAACUUUUUCCAUUUGUGGCCUUGAGUAUAGAACUAUAAUGACUGGCAAAUUUGUUUUUUGCCCUAACAAUAGAAUUAGAAGCUCCAAAAGUAAUACAAAUAUGUAAACAUUCGAAAUAGAUAGCCCAGAAAACAUAGAAUGUUAUAAAAUAAACCAUUUUUUGGGGCAUGAAAACCAUUUCUUCUAAAUCCAGUUUUAUCAAAAUCGUAAUGAUCAAUCUGUAAGUUUUUUUUUUUACACAAAUUUUGUACGUUCUGAAUGUGCAUGAAGCUGUGGCCCUACUAAAUUUUUUCACCUCAACUAAUUUUGAAGCCCGCAUAAAAUCUCCAUAAAAAUUAGAACAUUUUUGGGAAAUUAUCAUAAAUAUACCUUAAUUUUUCAUAAAUUAUAAAAAAACCUAAAUUUUCGUAAAUCUCGUCCAUACCCUUUUUUCUCAGUUUUGGCAUUUAAAAUACUUCAAGUUAUCACAGUUUAAAUGCCGUAUAAAAUGGGGUAGUCAUUACAGUACUUAAAGUACCGUAACACUAGGGCUUCACAAUAAUAUGACUACUGUGAAUAUUAUUUUGGUUCAAAAAAGGCCAAAAAAAAAGGUCUAGAUGAAGUUUAUAAAAGUUGAGGGUUUUUUUUCAAAUUGAGAGAAAAUAAAAGCAUAUUUAUAAUAAUUUCCCAAAAUUUUUAUAUAAGGGUGAUGCCCUAAACAAUAAAAUCAAGGCCCACCUCAAAAAUUCUUUAGAAGAUGUUAUUUUGAUGCCCAAAAAUCUGAACAUGAGAAAAAUUGAUUGUCUUGAAAAUAAUGCAUCAUUUAAUGCACAAGAAUUCAUAGAUAUGUUCAAUCUACACUAUUUUUUAAGCUUUAUUUGUAUAAUUAGAGACAUAAAUUUUCAAGCUAUUACAAAGAUUUACCAUGGGCAACUUACUUUGAUUCUUUAGGGCCUCAGCCUUUUACAAAUUGCACCCAUAAAAAUUUGACCUUCGAAUCUCGACACAGUUUUUCUUGAUGCAUGUUAAUAUGUUCUAAAUUUAGUCAAGAAUUUCUUAAAAAUAAGAAUUAAACUUUAUGUUAGAGCAACACUUCCCUAGACUAAAGAGUUAAUACUAGGUCGAUCUUGAAAGGAGGCUUCUACUACAAGCUUUUAGAGAUACAAAUGAGGCUUGUAUGGCAAAAGCUUGAAUGCCAUAAUUUAACAAAAAAAAAAAAGCUCAACUCAAAACUAUAAUUGCUGAUUUAAAAAGAAGAGGACACGGUUUCUGUGAGUCCAUAUAGAAAUGAGUCAUCCCUUAAAAAUCUAUUUUUGGGAUGGAUUUUUUAACUUAAUUUUUAAAGACAUGUAAUCUCUAACAUAGAGAUCAUGUAUAUGAAAAAUACAUAAAAUUUGAAAAUUAAAAGUAAUAAUUCUGUUAGAAAAACAUUUGGACCGGUACAAAUUCCAGACUGUGAUCCGCUUACUUGUACCCAGUUUCUUUUUCUCUCGAACCCCAAGCAUUCCUUGAGCCCUACCCAUCCCCUUCACCAAAUGGAAACCCCAGAUAUUUUUCAUGACUCCUUUUCUUCUCUCCCUAUCCUGACUGCAAAAGCAGAGCUUUGAGCCCUAGAAACCUUUCUAGGGUCCGCUCGUGCUUGCAUUCCGUUAUCGAUUUUGUCGCAAUUGCUCUGAGCCACAGGUAUUCACUAAACGCUCUCCUUUUUAUGUGAAAUUUACUUGAAUUUAUGUUUCAAAUGGAAAUGAUCAGGCCCACUAAAUUUUCUCUUUUAAAAAUAUGUGAUUUCUGUGUAAUUUUGGUGUAAUUGGUUCUAGUAACCAUUUCUUGCAAACUUCUUGUUACUAUGAUCAGUAAGAGGAAUUGAUAAAUUUUUAUUUUUUAAUAUUUGUUUUCUGAUCAUUUUCACUGUACAAACUGUUUUUCUCUGGUUAAAUUUGAAGAUGAGGUGGUGUAUCAGUGGCAAUUGGGUGAUUUAGGGCAGUGUAGAACAUGAAAACAUUGAGUAAUCUGUUCUUCAAUAAUGAGCUGCAUUGUAAAGUAAAAAAUAGAUCCUUACUUGUGUUUGAUCUUGAAAACAUUGAGUAAUCUGUUCUUCCAUGCAUGUGGAGGCUACAAUUGUAUUUCAUGGCUACUACUAUUGACAUGGUUCUGUUGCAUAGCUUGUGCAUCAUCUAUUCAGUAUUGUAGUUUAUGUCAAGCAUCAGGAGAUGUAAUAAUAAGUCAUAAAAGACUAUUUGACUACACAUUUUUGCAAAGGGAUGGUUUAUUUGGGAAAUUAUCAGAUAUACUUUAAUUUAAGUUUAAUCGGAAAAAAACUCCAAACUUUCGUUUAUCUCAUCUACACCCUUUUUUCUUAGUUUUGUUUUUUCUGUUUUUUUGUUUUUUUUGUUUUUUCUUCCUUGACGGUAGUUGUAUUAUUUUAAGUACCGUAAUACUAAGUAUUUUUUAUUGUACUUUAAGUACCGUAAACUUACACUGACCCUUAUACGACGUUUUAAGUACCGUAAAAUUAACUCAUGUUAUACGGCAAACCCUUUUUAUAUUUAUGUAUUUCAUCUCUAAUUUCUUCUAUGUUGAUUUAUUCUUUCUCUCUGUUUAUAUUGAUAUAUUUCAUCUCUAAUUCUUUUUAUAUUUAUCUAUUUUUUCUUUCUUUAAUUCAUUUUCAUAUUUAUCUCUUUUUUUUCUCUCUCAUUCUUUUUUAUCUCUUCGUUAUCUCUCUCUACAAUCUUACUCUACCAGCCCAUUUGGAUACGGCCAAAUAUCCCAAUUAGGGAGAGAAAAGAUUUAGAAAGAGAAAGAAGAGAUAAAUAUUAAAAAAAUGAAAGAGAGAAAUAUAAAAAAAAAUAGAGUUGAAAGAGAUAAAUUUAAUAAGUAGAAAGGGUUUUACGGCUUUUUAAGUGCAGUAUAAAAUGGGUUAGUUUUUAUGGUACUUAAAAUAAAGUAAAAUUGGUUUUAGUUUUUAUGGUACUUAAAGUAUCGUGAAGCCAAGUACCGUAAUUGGCUUCACGGUAAUGCUAAUUGAAGUUACCGUAUAAAAUGAUACAUAUUAAAGUAUUACGAUAUUUUAAUUACCGUAAUACUCCUUCAAUUGAUUACGGUAUUUAAAUUACUGUAAUGUUUUUUACGGUAAAAAGACUAACAUGAAGGUUAUUUUUGUCAAAAAAAAACUGAAAAUUGUGAGAAAAGAUGUAGGUGAGGUUUUGAAAAAUUGAGGGGUUUUUUUUUUAUUAUACUAAAAUAUAGGUAUAUUAGCGAUGAUUUUUCUUUAUUUUAAAAUGAGCAGUCGUCCCAUAUAUUCUAAAAUGUGUAGUUAUAAAAGUGUCAUUGAAUAGAUACGAAGUUCCAAAAAAAAUUAUCGGACUUUGUGACUCACCCCAAGCCAUCCAAUUUGAAAUCUAAUAAAUAUGAAUGAUUAUGAACUCCAUGUACAAAAGAUAAAUACUCUCUUUGACCAUCCCUUUUGCAAAAGAGUCGGUAAUACUUAAUAAAUAGAAUAAAAUUUGCAUAUAUGAUUGAACUUCGAAAGAAAACAUUCUUGGACCACAGACUUUGAAACAUUAUUGAAGGCAUCUUUGUUUGGGAGAGAGAAAGAGCACGACAGACUCCUUAUACAUUUGAUCUAAACCGCUCAUUUUGUUAGAGUUAUUGAAGAUUAGGAGUGCCUUAAAUAUCUCCUUCACAUAUGACAUAUAUCAACCUCGUAUGAUAAUAAAUGAACGAACAAUUCAUACAUGCUUAUUCACAACUCUCUAAAGGGCCGAACACUCUAGGAUCGAUCAAACAUAUGUACCCAAAAUUUUCUAAAUAUUCCAACAGGUUAUCAAUCACAAGUACCCAAAAUUUAUAAAACAUUCCAGCAUAUUACCAAAUACUGUUACUAAUAAUUCUAGAAAGAUAACAUUCCACUUCCUAAAAAAAGAACUUCCAAAUUCCAGAGAAAGGCUACCUUCCAACAGUCAAGGUGAUGAUUUUCGACAUUUUUAGUGAGUAAUUGAAAUUUAUUUUGACAUUAUUAAUUAAUAUGAGGAGAGGGGAGGAGGACAUUUUAGUCAUUUUUAUUAGAAAGUAUAUAGACUUUGGGUUUUAGGUUAGAGAUUCAAAACCACGUACAAUGGCCAUGUAAGAAAUAAAAAUGGUUUCUAUGUCCAAAAUAACAUGAAAAAGGCUAAUUCCUUCUUUAACACCUGGUUCAUUAACUUAUUCCAGACUCCAUCCAUUUGCCCUUGGAUUUAAAGUUUUAUUUUUUUGAAACAAAACGCAGGUCGAGGGUUUACUUCUCCAUCAUUAAUGGCUUCUACUCUUCCAUGGCAAUGGGUCCUCGAAAGCCUAGCUGAAGUUCAAGAAGUUGGAACUCCAAUUCUUAGAGGUAUUAAUUUUUUUAAUUUAUUGGAUUUUCAUCUUCUUAUUUUGAAUUCUCCUACUUUUUUUCUCCCUUUUUCUCCUUCAAUUUUCCAUUAUUAUUUAUUUAUUUAUUUAUUUAUUGGUAAUUUGACGCUAUGAUUUUCAUUGGAAACCACUUAACUGAAGUUCUUUUUGUUUUUAUGAUGUUUUCACGUGAAUUUUUCUUUCCUUGUAAGCCCCGUUUUCUAAGCCUUGAUUUGGUGAUUUCCACUUCCCCUUCUGUUUAUCUUUUCCGCUUUCUUUGAUGAAAUUAUAUUUAAUUUUAUUGUGUGAUUCGGUGAAUUUGAAUUUUUUUCUCUCAUUUGCAAUUGAGAAUUUUAUUUUUAUCUGGUUUUUGUGUUUAGCGUUGAUAUCUAGGAUUCCUGAUCGGAACUUAGGCGAUACAGUUAGAGAAAAGGUUGCCCUGAAAUACUUGGACGAGUACUUGGCUUGUAUUUCAGACUGCUCAGAUUCCCUGGGAGAUUCUUGUGCUUCGAAUGAACGUGCCUUUCAUCCUUCUGAGCGAUGUGAAAAUGUUGUUCUUCGCAUAUGCAAAGAGGUAAACUUUUGUUUCUGAAAAACCGUGAAAACUCAUUCUUAACUGUUAUGAAAUGAUGUUAAUUCAAAUUCAUUUUGGGAUUUUGUGGAUAUUAAUUCGUAUUUAGACAUUUUUUAUGCGAAGAUAUUGUCAAGCUUGGUUGUAAUUUACAAAUUAUUUUCUAAAAUAAUCCAUACUAUUUGAUUAAUGAGGGUGAGGUAUUGAUAGAAGCUCUGAGGUGAGAUCCUACUUGCAAGAUUGGGAAAACGCGGAAAUAUGGGCCCAAACUAGAACAUGAAACAUAGACAAAUGAGAAAUGAUAUGUUGAAGGGGAUAGGAAACUCCUGAUUUUUUUUUGUGGACAGAUGGGUUUCUCAGUAACUAUGGGUGAGAUUACUGAUGGUUCCAAAUGGUUUCGCGAUUGAUACUCUUCAUGAUAUUAAACACCCCUUCUCAUAAGAUUAAGGUUUUGAUGGAAGUGGUGAGUACUCUUCUCAUAUAUUUCAGGUAUACUUAAAGAAUAAUGACAUCUUUUGUCGAUUCUCUUGCCCAUAUACCCCUAUAGAAAGUGGAGUUGUUGAGCUUAAACAUUGACAUAAAGUUGAGAGUAGCUUGGCAAUGGUACGUGCUGGUGACUUUCCUCAUAUUCUUUAGCCAUAAGCCAUUUCUUCUGCAAUUUACCUUUAUAAAUAGACUACCAAGUCCUACGCCCUUAUUUGUAUCUCCAUUUCAUAAGCUUUUUCAAUUCAAGCCUGAUUACUCAUUUCUUAUGUUUUUUGUUGUGUUUACCUUCCCCGUAUUCAUGUGUCUCAAUGAAACAACUUCUCAUCUGAUGCUCAUGAAUGUGGUUUUGUGGGUUGUAGUGUAGAUCAUAAAGGUUACCUAAUUAUAAAGUAUCAUGGGGUUUCUUUAUAUUUCGAACACAUUUCAUAAAACUAGGUUUUAUCUUAAAGAGGAUAGUAACCAUCAAAUAUCGUAACCAAUUUUCCAACUUCUAAGAGGAUAUUUGUGUCGAUCUGGUUUUUUGCUUUCUCACUGUCAAAAAGAAUUACGAUCCGAGGUUUCAGAUCCUCAUAAAGGAGAUGAAGAGCCUCCUCAGUGCAUGAAGGAACAGAAGAGCCUCUUCAGUGCGCUCUUGCAACUGUCAAUUUCUCCCGAUUGAAGGUAUGGUCAACAAUGCCUUCUAGUUUAAACUGUCAGGAUCAUUUACCGUCUAGUUCACCAAACUCCACUAAUUCUAACAAAUCUCUGAUGACUAAUACCUUGUUAGAUAAUUUAAUACUUGUCCUUCACAACCAGCAGUUGAGUGUGACAUUCCUUAAGCCUCUCUCUCAUCAUAGUAAUUUUUCUGAUUAUAAAGUCUAUUCUACGUCUACCUGUGAGGUUAACAUCUCGUUAAAGACUGCAAGGUCUAGUUGCAAUAUAAAGAACUUUAGCUCAUCUGACAAGCUUCCUCCUAAUCAUAGAACCUUGAUUUCAGAUAUUUCACAAGUUCAAGAACCAACAUCCCUGGAGAAUGCUCUGCCCCUCUGAGGCAAGGUGGCUCACAUUCAUGAACGAGGGAUUGAAUUUCUUCGGAAAAAUAAAAUGUUGGUUUAGGUGCCAUUGCCGCAUGGGAUGAACAUUGUGGGUUCAAAAUGGGUGUAUAAGGUUAAAGUCAAGUCAAAUGGCUCAAUUGAGAUAUGAAAUCCAAGCUGGUAGCCAAGGGAUUCAGUCAAGAAUAUGGGCUUGACUGUGAAGAAACAUUUCUUCUAUAGGUCAAUACAACCACAAUUCAAUAUAUGUUGACAAUCAUCUCCAAGUACAAAAGGAUGCUUCAUCUUCUUGAUGUGGAAAGUGCAUUUCUGCAUGGUGAAGCAAAGGAGGAAGUAGACAUGCAGCAACCUUGGGGAUUUGAACAUCCACCCCUGCUGAUGUAGGUUGAAAGUUAAAGAGUAAAAUUGUGUUUCUAUUUAACCCUUACCAAUUCUGAAGCAUUGUUGGGAGACUUCAAUACUUCAUCUUUACAUUUCAUGGCAUUGCAUACACAGUUAAUACAAUUUGUCAUUAAUGAAUCCCUUAGGUAGCCUCAUAAGACAACUGCAAAAAGAAUCUUGAGAUGUCUUAAAGGAACCAUACAAUUUGUAUUAUUUUACUCUUGCUCAAAUCCCUCUUGACAUUAAAGCUUACUCUAAUGCAGAUGGGUUAGGUUGUUCCAAUGAAUGGCCCCCAAUUACUGGUUUGUUGUUUCCUUUUGUGGAGACUUCUUAGUGCAGUAAGAAAAAAAGUGUUGUAUCUAUAUCAAGUACAAAAUCUGUUUACAGAGAUGGGCGCUGCAGUUGCAGAGAUUACCUGGUUUUGCAUCUUUCUUGGUGUUUGAGGAAUCCAUUAUACUUUCCCUGAUAAUCAAAUUGCAGUGUGCCUAGCUACAAAUCGAAUUUUUCAUGCUCGCACAAAAAAUGUUGAGGUUGAUUAUCACGCAUCAGGAUAACAGUAGUAUCUAGAGACAUUUUGUUGAUAUCUGUUUCUUCUCUUAGUCAACUGGUGAAGCUAUUCACUCUAGCAUUACUUAAGCGGUGGUGAUUGUAUUCCCUCUAGCAUUACUUAAGUGGGGAGACCUUGAGCUACUUGACAACUUAUUGAUACAUAGGCAUGCUUAGCUUAAGAGGGGGUGAUGUUAGAGAAAACAGGUCAUUCUUUAUUUUUUGUGUAUGUGUGUAGAUGUAGUAUCUACAUGUGUAGACACACCCCCAACGGAAUUGUAUUCAUUGAAUUAGAAGGUAGAGAUUUUUUGCUAUCCCAUGUUUCAUAAAAGCCCAUUGCUUUAUGCAUCUUUCCUGAUACGUAAUCCUUAUGCAAAAUUUAGUGUCCUAGCUGUUGUACCUGGGAAUUGAUGUUGAGAAAGAAAUUUAGGGAUCUUUACUAUAGCCUUUCUCAUCCUGUAUAGAUUCACACAGGGGCAGGUAACUGUGACUUGGGAUACAGGGCAUCUUGGAGGAACAAAUACUUGGUAAUUGUUGGUUUGUUUAUUCUUUGUUCUAAUCAAAAUUGUGUAUUUGAAGUUCUAUAGGGGAGAGUAAAAUCCAUAAAUGUGUUAUGUUUAUACUUUACAGCCUUUUUUCCACUUACUCAUAUGGCCUAUUACAACGAAAUUAGAAUAGUUGGGAUAAGCCUCGGAUGAUGAUGAUAAUGAUGAUAUGACUCCUAUGAACAAUGAUUGAGUUUGUGGUGUUGGGUUUAUCCAUCAGCUUAUAUUAUUAGAUAUAGAUCAGUUUUUGAACAUCUUUGAUCUUCGAUGUCAAUGCACCAUAAUAAGCCUUAGACUUGUCUACAUGGCCUCCUAUGCUAGUUUGAACUGGUAGAAUGCUAUGAUUAUAUUGAUGACAACAUAUUGAGAUGCUACUACUUAGUAUUUAUUUAUUUCUUAUGAUGAACUGAAGCUUUGGGUGUCACUGUACCAGUUUGAGAUAGUUGUCUUAAACAUUCCCUCGAUUUCUUUGCUCGAAAAUCAGCACAUCUAUUCAUGGUGCUUUAGGCCUUUACCUAAUGGGAGAGUAUACUGGACACUGGGUGUAUAGUAUUUUAGAGCAUUUCCACUGUCCAUUCCAACGAUGGGGGGAUGAAGAUAAACCAAAUUUUGUCUGCCUAAAGUCAACUCUCUAAGUGCAAGAACAGUUCUAGCCUAAGGUAAGAAAUAGCUCCCGAACAUCACCACAGAGUUAUAUAAUCAACACAAGAAGUACUUUUGUUGUUCAACAAUAAGAUGUCAC
rnacentral:lncRNA from 1 species